UAAAUAAGAAAUUUGACUUUGUAAGUGACGGUAAAUUUAUGAAACCACAAGCAGCAAAGCUGUACCUGUAUCCGAAGAUAGCUUUUUUCCGAGUGAAGGGCUUGAAAAAGCUCUGAAAGGUGUAAGUCGAUCAUAUCUCCGCUUGCUUGGGUAAACACUUUCACUAAGGGGGUGGAACCACCACUGGUCAACCACCCCAACACACCCCACUUGGCUGCUUCAUCAGCAUUGUAUUUUUCUUCGGCUUUUGAUGACCCAGUUCCCAAGGAUAUUACUAGAAACCGGCCAUAGUCCAUUGGCUUUAUAGGAAAGAAAUCAGGACUACCCCGGAUGAUCUCCUUGGUCACUUCCCCAAUAGCAACCAAAGUCUGAAACAAGAAUCAAUAAUUAAUUGAAUUGUGAAAAGAAAAAUAAAACUGGGAAGUCUAAGAUGCAACUUCAAAGUUAAUGAGUACCGGAUUAUUUGCAGCUACACCACCAUCAAUGAGGUUGAAUUCUCUAACUCUCCCGGCAGGGUCUUUGGUUUCGAAAUAAUGAGCUGGAAGAUAAGUGGGUGCUGCUGAGGUUCCAAUACAUAUAUCUGACAGUAAGGCAUCUAAGCUUGGUCUGCUCUUCACCUAGAGCAGGGAAAUCAAGCAUAUAGUAUUAAUAUGAAAGUUAUUAUAGCUCCCGUCAUUCAUUACAAUCUCUUAAUUUUCAUAGUUUGGAUUAGAAGGAAAUGAAAUUGUGGAAAGAAGAUGAACCUGAUAAGUCGAAAAUAUUGUUGGCUGAAGGCGCUUGAUGUCAAAUGUUGGGAUAACAACAUUAGUAAGGGUCUGGUGUAAUCGUGUUUCACCUAGUUUUUCUUUAACAAGGUUGUGCAGAUACUUCCCAUCAUAUUUUGGUCCUGAUAAGGCUGUAACUACCUUUGUAACAUGAGGAAUUGGAUCAUGACUGCAUUUAAAAGAAAGAUCAUGUUAAUAACUACAAAAAAUAUUGAAGUCUAGUUAAUUUUAUAUACAUAAAUACUAGCAUCCUGUCAUCUUAAUCAAGAUGUUCAUCAUGAUAUAUUUGUUACCUGUGCUGUGGGAAGAUCUUAGGGCAGUGAUCAAGGUAGAAGUCCUUGAUAUCUUUGGCAGAAAACAAGGGUCGGCCAGUGUUUUCAUUGGGAGUAGUUAGCAUGGCAGUCACGAGGCCACCGGUGCUUGUUCCUGCAAUCACAUCAAAAUAAUCUGAAAUUCUCGCAUCUUCACCAUCCAGCUUCUGCACCAUGGCCAAACAAUCUAGUGUUAGUACGUAUAAAAUAUAUCCAAUAUAGGAUAUAGGUUUCAGAUUAGGAAUAUGCUAAUUUUAAAAGGCAAAUGGAAAAGCCAUAUUUUGUUAUUAUCAUGUAAAACCUUAUAUUUCCUACCUGAAGCUCAGACUCCAGGAAGCCAAGGACUGUUCCUGGGAUAAGCCCUCUUAUUCCACCUCCAUCGAUGCUGAGAAUGGUGAUUAGAUUUCCAUAAGUUGGAGGCUGUAGGGGUGAUUUUGGACCUUCUCCCAUUAGGGAUGGAGUGAUGGAGGUAUGAACUUGAGUGAUAGAGGAGAGAAAUGAGAGACUUGUUAUUUCAAGAGACUUAGAAUAGAAUUGAAGUUUCUGCAGGAGACUUAGAAAUGUAGAGAGACUUGGAGUUCUCUUUGAUAACUAGACAGGAGUAUUUAUAGACUCCUUAGCAUAUAUCCCUCAUUUUUCUUGCUCAUACUUUUCUAAAUGGACCUGGUUCAAGUUGGACCGCGGAUUCAUCAUUUGGGAUAAGUUGAAAAGUCCACAAGCAACCAGUAUCUUCUUGUUUUAUAGAAGCUAGCCAAAUGGUCAUAGACAUGACUCCUGGCAACUGUAGGUAAGACCAAAGAGAAUAGCUGGUAAGAAGGAUUAGGGGACUCAAUAAAGGUUGAGAUAGGAUUUUUUCCUAACUAAUGAAGUUUGUGAACAGGUCAUGGAAACACUUAAGUCUUAUGAAAUGAUUCUGGUUUCUAGCUAUGUCUGGUGCAAAGAAUCAUGAUGGAGACAAGGCUAAAUGUGCAAACCAAAAAAAAAAAAUUAUUAUUAAAUGCACACAAUUUUGUGUUUGUAAAUCGAUGUGCUUGACUGGGGAUGCCGAUGAUUUUGAAAGAACACCAAUCAGGGCAAUGAAAAGUACUGGCCAACACGGCACUGUGAAUGACAAGGAAUGAUAAUUCAAUGUUAAGCAGCAAGGUUUUAUAUAAUUUCCUGUUAGACAUGAUUUUUUGACCUAAUAAACUCAUGCUUUUCAUAUUUAAUAUCUGUAAAAUUGUACACACGAUCAUUGGCUUCUAUAGUUUGUAGAAAACUACAUGGUUUUCCAAUACUUUUUAUAAUUACAGUUCUGAGUCCUGUGAAUUUUAGAUUAUGUGCAGUGCAAAGACUUGGUUGACUGGUAGUUAUGGCUAACUAAAAAUAGGUUGUAUUAUAUUAAACUACAAAAAGUUUUCAGUACUUUUAUCUUUAUCAAUCUGUGUUAGGCACUUAUUUAGCAAGGUUGGAAGUAUGAAGGGUGACAGCAUCCCCUAUGGACUUCACUUUACCUCGACCAAACAGUGGUCAAUUGGUAUUUAAAAGUUAACUUCACAUCUAUGAACGAAAAAAUCAUGUUUGUUUAUCAUGGUUAGGCAAAGAUGCAACGCAUCCGUGAAGUGAAAAAAAGAAAGGACUGGUCAACUAAGGAAAUCUGUUGGUUGCCGUAGUGAAUUUGCGAACCAUUCACUGGAAACUUCAAAUUUCGAACACAGCAUGGCCUAUUCACUUUCAUGUUGAGCUCAAUCUAGAACAAAAAUAAUACUAUUACAGCACUAUUGGAACAGCUCUAAAGAAUUGGGGAUUGAUGCUGGAAAUACUUUGUUCCUUAUGGUCUUUGCAUGUUAAUCUUAGCUGCUGGGCUUAGCUGGGCAUUAAUAUUCAGAAAUUGUGAGAACUCCAUGCCUGCCCGUAUUUCAAAUCCCAAAUUUGACCCAAACCCUAACUUAAUUGAAAGCAGUUUAGAUUUGAUCUUUUCAAUCAGUGCCCUUGAGUCCUUGACCAUUCCACCCUUCCAAAGCCAUCCCUUCGUUUCUAUUUCAUGGAAGCUAGCUAUCUAUGCUGUAAUGCCAUCAAUCCAUUCCUAACUCUUUGAGAUGCUUUAUCACCCCCAAAGUCCAUUUGAUUACAUUUAUUACUUAUACAGACUUGAUCUGAUCAAGGAAAUAAAUAAUGGACGCAUUCUAUACAAUUUAUUUAAUGAACUCUACUUCUACUAAAAAGUUUUGUUUCAUUAUAUGUAGCUUUGAUCUCAACUUAAAUAUCUGCUGCAAUUCAUAUAUGAGAUAGGGUUUUCUUGUCCUCAUAGUUUGCACAACUUUCUACCAAAGAAGUUCACAAUGUAGAGUAUGAUUUAAAGGCUGGGAUGAACUGAGAAAUGAGUCAAUGUUGAAAAUCUAAAGGUAUUUAUUAGUAUAGUAGGGCAGUUUUGUAUUGGUAAUAAAUCUGUUGUAUUUUCUGUUUUGUUCUGUUUUGUAAUCUGGUGAGUCACUUACGAGUGUAGUUCUUUAGGCUCUAUAUAUAGGCAUGCUUUUGGGUAUUCUGAACUGAUCUUCAGAAAACAUGAAUGAAUAGAAGAUUUUCGUUGUAAACCCUUUCCCUUUUUCUUCAGAAACAACAGUAUUGAAACCCUUAAUUAACUAGCAUUUUUAUUUACUCUGGAUGAAGAUGGGACUGAAGGAAGAGUGCUUGAAGUUAAUUUCCUUUGUAACCCAUCCAUUUUGCUUCAGCUAAGAUGAAGGAAGAAGAGAAAUCAGCCAAUAUAAGGUAGAUUCAAUUGGAGUUAGCGUUCUCUUACUUUAGCUUAUUGGAUCCCUAGACCCAGCUAAUUAACCAGGAGCACCACCCACCAGCAGUUUAUGUCCAUUGAUAAAUACAAUCCUAGUUAGUUCUACACUGCCACGACCUUAACCCCUGCCUUGAACACCAGACCUUGCUGUCCGGGAACGCUGGCCAGUAAUGGUUAAUAGAGUCCUAGGGAAACCACAGAAAAAUAAGACAUUCAUAGAUUUUUACAUACGUUCAUGGACUCUUGUAUUAACAUUUUUGACUCGUGUAACAUUUGAGGAAAAAAGUGUAAAAAGAAAAUAAAGAAGGAAAUUAAUAGAAGAAAAGAAAAUAUGAAGAAAAAUAAAUAAAAUUUUAAAAUUAAUUAAUUAUUUUUAUAUAUUUUUUUAAAAUUUUAACUAAUUUUAAAAAUAUUCAAAUUUUUAGUAUUUUUUAUUAUAAUUUCAAAUUAAAAAAUUAUAUUAAACUUUUUUUUUAUUAUAAUUUCAAAUAAAAAAUUUCGGCACCCUAGUUUCUUCGGAGAUUUCUCUCUUCAAAUUCCUCUCUUCCCUUCAAAUUAUAUUCUCUCCAGUUCCCAUGGUUGGAACAGCAGCCAGUACUUGGGUAUGCUAUGUCAUUUUGGUGGUGGUGGCGUUUUGGUGAGUUGUUUGUCACAAGCGCUCUGAGGCUGGUGGAGUAGUGGGGUUGGUGUGGCACUAUUGUUUUGUAGGUGGGGAUUGAAAUGCUUAAAUUCUGAUUCAAGCUCUCUCUCAUGUCUUUAUUCUUGGACUUUCAGCGCCUAUUUCUUCUGCCACAAAAGAGCACUAUAGUCCUUCUGAAACUUUCACAAUAUUACCCACCAUCAAACCUAAGAUAAUAUUUCACCCAACUUGCCUCUUCUGUUUUUGAUAAAGUAACAAUCCGUGAUUGUGUGGGUGCCAACAAAGAGGAAAAUAAUUAAUUACUAUCGAGUUUUAGAUUUAAUAACUGUAACCAAAGAAACUGGUUCUGGGUUCUUGCAUUAAAUUGUGUUUAAGCAUCAUGUCUAAUUCGUUUCAUUUGUUUUGCAUUAAAUUGCAUUAAACAUAUACAACUUUUUUCAUUUUUCGGAUUGAACAAGUUGGUUUCUACUUUCUAGGGAGGAUACUAGGUUUUGUGAUAGUAUGAAGCUAUUUGAUGUUUUAAGUGUGUAAAGAAGAAGUUAGAGGACUCCCUGUACUCUUUUGAUGAAGUAUGUAUGGGCAUUGAAGUCUUGUACGUUAAGCAAAUAAAGAAGUUGUAUAUUGAUAUAAUAAUACGAGGCAUGUACAUAUAUAACCUUAUGGAGAUCUUUCUGGUCCACUUAAUUUCAAUGAUGUGUAUUUGCUUUGAAUUUGAAUUCUUGGAUAUGGCCAUCUUUGGAGGAAUACAAUACUGUAUGAUCUAAAAUUUAACAGUAUCCAUUUUCUUUGGCAAGAAGAUAAUCCCAUAGAGAGUGUGGGAACUUUAGGUAAGAGGACUCUCAAAGAAUUGUAGGUAAGAAUAGUUAGGUGAAGUGGUCAAGCUGAACAUGAGAUGGAUUAUACUAACCAGUCAAAAACACUAUGUAACAAAGGCGAUACUUUGUUUAUAAAUAACUGUGGUUCAAGUGUCUAGCGACAUGAUAAGGGGGACAUACCUGGUUGUUGCGAUCAAGAAUUGGUAAUUGACAUUCUGAACAUACUUUAUUAUCAUUAAUUUUUUGUGAGAGGUGGUGCCUUAUCUGGUUGCGGAGGAGUCAAUUGGUGCGGCGAUUAAUAGGUAAUGGCAUUUCCAUGUGCCAACAGCCAAUAAUACUAAUGACCAUGAAAGCGUCAAUCAGGGUGGCGCUGAUUGCAGGGCAACCUUGUGCAUCAAGAAUGAAUAGUACUAGAGAAUUCAACAAAUUAAGGUAUACCAUUCUGUUAUGCUUCCAUAAAACUUUCAUCGCUGAAUGGGAGAAUAGUUUGGUUUUGACAACUUAGACUGUAGAAGUCUAAGCUUCCAUCUCGUUUUAGCCUAACUUUUUCCUUGUCCAAUAGUUUAUACUUUCUUUCUUAUUUUCCGUAAAUUUUUCGAUGCUAAAAACAUAGGCUUGUUCACACAUUACUUCUAAUUAAACAGCAUGACAAUAAAAGACCACUAGAUGUUUUUCAGUUGCAUCUCUUUCAGCAGGUUUCAUAAUUUUGAAAUAUAAAAGCAAAAUCCUAUUUCUUUUUCCCCUUAAUCACUGCACCAUGUAUUCCAAGUAGUAAUUCUGUUUUGAGCAAGAUUUGCAUUUCGUAUGCAUAACAACUUCCAUAUGCAGUUACUGCUCCUUGUGUGACAAAUGGGGUUGAGAGUUGGGGUAUGCUUAUCCUUUUACUGUCAUGGUGAACUGAGAAUGGUUAGUUGUCCAUAAGCUCUGGGGCUUUGUUGGGAGGAAGAGGAAGAAGAAGUCCUUUUACUGUCAUAGAAAACUGAGAAUGGUUAGGUCCAUGAGCUCUAGGUCUUUUCUGGGAAGAGGAAGGCUAAAAGGAAGAAAAAGAAGAUACAACUGAUGUACGAAGAAGAAGAAGAAGAAGAAGAAGAAGAAGAAGAAGAAGAAUCGUUGAAUGGGCACCUAGCCUUCACCGUAUCUUAUUUGAUAACUGGAACUGGGACUAUAUAUAACUUGAAUAUUAAGGCAUACUACUCAAAUUUUCCACACUUGCCCUAACAAAUAAAAUAAGAUUAUUGUGGAAGAUGCUAACAUAUAUAUCCUAAACUAUUUUAAAUGUUAAUUGAGGAAUGCAACAUCACUUCAAUAUUGUUGUCUUCAAACAAGGCACACAACACAUCAAGUUAUCACACUACAUGGCAUUUAUUUAAUAAUAUACUAAUUAAUUGAACUGGAACUGAUAAACUUCAAUUUAAGAUUAUUUCUGAUUAAUUUGCUGCACAUCCAUCUGGGAUUUGGCAUCAUGAAGGCGUUUCUCUUGUGACAGUACUUCUGCAAACCUGUGACAUUGAGAGCAAUUCGAUCAGUAUUAAUGAAUGAUAGAAGAACAGGUGGCAUAUGUAGAGGGGCUUGUUUAUUAAUCCGGCGUAUUGUUGUUUGUGAUCACAUGCGUUCUCAUCUGAAAUGAAAUUACUAUGUAGUUUUGAUUCAAUAAUUAGUGGACAGAAUUUUAUACAGUAAACAGAUUUACAAUGAGAACUGAAUCUAAGACUAAUUUGAUACCUCAUGAGAGCCUCUUCAUUUGUCUGUUCACUUGAAGGCUCCAAAUUUGAUACCACAAUCAGUUGGCUUUAUAGAAAAGAAAUGAGAAUUUCCCCCACAAAUCUCGUUAGUCACUUCACCACUGAAAAUUAAAGCCUGAAAGGGAUCAAUAGUAGGUCACAAUUAUUAUAACAAUUCAUCACUCAUUUGUUUUUCAGUAAUAGAUAUACAAUACUGGAUUAUUGGAAGCUACUGUUAUUUCGACAUUAAAAUUAAGUGGGUGCCCACUAACCUAGUGUUUUAAUUUUUAUCCACUUAUAGCCAAUUAAAGAAUGCCUAAAAUAGUUACUAACUGUUGUAAGGAUAUUUACCCUUUGAUGGAGUGGGUAAAUAAGAAUAAAACAAUUAUUAGAAUAACACGUUCAGAAUAGUUUUCUGAACGAUUAUUCUUAGCCCUAUUCUCCUAUCUAUAAAAGAAAGAUACAAAACCCCUUUUGUGAGUAAGUUCUCUUCCAUCAAUUAAAGGAAAUAAUUAUGUGUAUUAAAAUUUGAUAAGGAGAAGAAGAGAUUAAGAAUUUAAGGUUUACAAAUUGAAGGGGAUCUCUCUAUUUAACAUGGCUGCGUGUUCUUCAAACGGUAUGUAAUCAAUUCUUUAAAUUUUUGAGAUGUGUUGAAUUCAAUGAUCUUUAAUUUGUGUGUUAAUUUUCGCGUUAAAUACUAACAAUUGGUAUCAGAGCCAAGUUGAAUUCAAAUAUUCAUAAUCAUUGUUUUAUAAGGAUUAAAUUUUUGAGAUUUUAUCUUCAAUUAAUUGGUCUCACCAAAACGAAUAGGAGAAAAUCUAAACAAAAUAAAGACCAACCUCAGCGCGUAGAAUGAAGGCACUGUGUCUUCCUUGCAACGCCGACUGGAGCAACGCAGUCCAAGCGCCGUUUCAUUUUGGGCGCCGCUACCAAUGACAGGGAUGACACUUGCGAUGCCGGUGAGGGGCGCCGUUUUGGCGCCGGUCCGGUGGUCGAAAAAGGUGUCAUUUGGCGCUGUUUCAGACAUUCAAGAAGUGUCAUUCAAGGAGCGCAACAAGGCCAUUCUAGGGGCCCUUCAGGGGCCAGUCCAAGCACCAUUUGCAGCGUCGUUCCAGGCGCGCUUUAGGCGCCAUGCCAGGCGCAUUCCAGGCGCUCCAGCGAUGUCGUAUUUAGGUGCUCCAGAAGCGCCAUUUCAGGCAAUCUAGAUGGCGUGUAGGCGCUGUUUUUUAAGCGUUUCAAAUGUCGAUGAGAAGGGCCAGUUUUGGGCGCUGCAGGCGUCCGUUCCAAGCGCUGUUCAAGGAUCGUUCUCUAAUGCAUUAUUAGACAAUUUAUAAAUGUAAGGUUAACUAGUUUAGAUAGUUGCCAAAGUAACCUAAAUUAGUGAGCCUUGUAUUUAUUAAAUUGCAUAAAAGAAUAAAGGGAGACUUGUAAAAUUCUUAAUAAUUCUCUUUAUAAUUAGGAGAAUGAGACUAGCCCAAAGUAGAGUCAAUUUCUGCUAAUUAUUAAUUAAUGCUUUUAUUUUGUGUUGCUUAGAAAAGUAAAAUGGAUACCCAAAGGUAACAUAUAAAUGACACAAAAUAGUAAAGUAUUUUAAGCUCCCUCCAAGUGAACACUGGAUAUGUUAAAAUUUACCCAAAGGAGAAUUUUAACGAUAUCAAUAGUUCAUUGUUAUUUAUUUUAUACUUGAGGCCUUAUUGUGAGCAUUGUUCUAUUUUGUACAGUUUCCACUUCGUUACACUCUCUUGCAUCUAGAAUGACUGUUUUUGAUGGGUCAAACUUUUCUGAAUGGUAUGAAAGGGUUCAAUUCUCACUGGGCGUAUUGGAUCUUGACCUGGCUUUAAUAACUGAUAAACCUCUUGAAGCUAUGGAUGAUAGUACUCCGGAGUAGGUGGAACAAUCAAAAGCCUGGGCAAAAUCAAACAGACUCAGUUUGAUGUUUAUGAGAAUGACUAUUGCCAAUAAUAUCAAGACCUCUCUCCCUUAAACCCAGUCUGCCUCGGAAUUUCUGAAAUCUGUUGAGGACCGCUUCAAACGCGCUAAUAAGUCCCUUGCAGGCACAUUGAUGGCUGAAUUGACCACCAUGAAAUAUGAUGGUAAAAAAUGUAUUCAACAACAUAUUUUAAACAUGACUGAAAAGGCUGCAAAGCUUAAGGCACUAGGCAUGAGUAUGGAUGAGUCAUUUUUGGUACAAUUUGUCCUUACCUCACUUCCAUCACAGUUUGCUCCAUUCAAGAUCCACUAUAAUACUAACAGCAAUCAGUAGAACUUGAAUGAGCUCACCAGUAAAUGCAUACAAGCGGAAGUGAGAUUAAGACAAGAAGGACAUAAUCUUGCCCUUGCUGUAACUCAUGGAGUCACAAAGAAGAAAGGAAAAUUCAGAAAAGGAAAGAAUUUUCCACCUAAGAAAAGUGGAUCUAGGGAAGGUAGUCAGAGUCAUGAUGAAAAAUUCAUGGUAAGUUGCUACUUUUGUGGCAAGAAAGGGCAUGUGAAGAAGGAUUGUAUCAAGCGCAAGGCUUGGUUCGAAAAAAGAGGUAUAAAUCUUUCUUUUGUAUGUUAUGAAUCCAAUCUUGCUGAAGUUCCUUCAAAUACUUGGUGGAUCGAUUCUGGAGCCACAACUCAUGUGACUAAUUUAAUGCAGGGAUUCCUUACAACCAGGAAACUGAAGGAAAGUGAAAAGUUCCUCUAUAUGGGAAACCAUCUCAAGGUCGAAGUGGUAGUUGUUGGUACCUAUCGCUUACUCUUAGACACGGGUCAUAUGAUGGAUCUUUUAAACACUUUUUAGGUACCUUCUAUUUCUAGGAAUUUAGUUUCUUUGUCCAAAUUAGAUGUUGCUGGAUAUUAUGUUUUAUUCAGUUCUGGACAAUUAAGUUUGUUGUUAAAUUUUAUUACAGUUGGUUUUGGUAUUUUAUGUGAUGGUUUAUAUAAAAUUUCCUUGAAUCAUGAAUUUGCACAAGCUUUGAUAACCCUGCAUUCAAAUGUUGGUUCAAAACGUGGCUUAAUUAAUGAAAAUUCUUCAAUCUUGUGGCACAGAAGAUUAGGGCAUAUCUCUAGGGAAAGAAUUGAGAGAUUAGUGAAUGAAGGAAUUUUACAAAAUCUUGACUUCAUUGAUUUUCAGGUAUGCCUGGAUUGCAUAAAGGGAAAGCAAACUAAACAUACAAAGAAAGGUGCCACAAGAAGUAAUGAGCUUCUUGAGAUAAUUCAUACGGAUAUUUGUGGACCACUCUAUGUUCCAUGUUUUACAGGAGAAAUAUUUUAUCACCUUUAUAAAUGAUCUAUCUCGUUAUGGUUAUGUUUAUCUAAUGCAUGAAAAGUCUCAGGCCAUUGACAUCUUUGAGAUGUUCAUUAUAGAGGUCGAGAUACAAUUAGAUAAAAAGAUUAAAAUUAUGAGAUCAAAUCGAGGUGAUGAAUAUUAUGGCAAAUAUGAUGAAUCAGGACAAAAUCCUAGUCCUUUUGCCAAAUUCCUUGAAAAGCGUGGCAUUCAUGCUCACUACACAAUGCCUAGUACGCCACAGCAGAAUGAUGUUGCUGAAAGGCGUAAUCGCACAUUAAUGGAAAUGGUUAGGAGUAUGAUGAGUUACUCUCCUGUACCUAUUUCAUUGUGGGGUGAAGCCUUAAAGACUGCAAUGUAUAUAUCUUGAGUAGAGUUCCUAGUACGACAGUUCCAAAAACUCCUUUCGAGUUAUGGACUGGUAGGAAACCUAGUUUGAGACAUAUACAUAUAUGAGGUUGUCCAACGGAGGCAAGAAUCUAUAACCCACAUGAGAAAAAACUUGAUUCGAGAACGAUAUCUGGACAUUUCAUUGGCUAUCCGGAUAAAUUGAAAGGGUACAGAUUUUACUGUCCUAACCACAGUGUGAGAAUAGUUGAAACCCGUAAUGCCAGAUUCUUAGAGAAUGGCGAAAUCAGUGGGAGUAAUGAACCAAGAAAGGUAGAUAUUGAGGAGAUAAGAGUGGAUAUCCCACCACCCUUUUUACCUCAAGAAAUUAUUGCCCCUCAACUUGUUCAACAAGUUGAGGAACAUGAGCAACAUAAUAGAGAUGGUUCAUUACCACCAGAAAAUAUUGCCAUUGAAAAUAUUGUAGAGCCACCACAACUGGCACCUUUAAGGAGAUCUCAAAGAGAAAGGAGACCUGCCAUUUCAGAUGAUUAUGUGGUGUAUCUAUAGGAAUCUGACUUUGAUAUUGGGAUAAGGAAGAAUCCGGUUUCAUUUUCACAAGCCAUGGAAAGUGAUGAUUCUAGUAAAUGGAUGGAAGCUAUGAAUGAUGAGUUGAAAUCUAUGGCCCAUAAUGGUGUCUGGUAGUUGUAAACCCAUAUGCUGUAAAUGGGUGUUUAAGACAAAGCGCGACGCUAAAGGCAAUACCAAAUGAUUUAAGGCCAAACUUGUGGCCAAAGGUUUCACUCAAAAGGAAGGUAUCGAUUAUAGAGAUACCUUCUCUCCAGUUUCCAAGAAAGAUUCACUUAAAAUCAUCAUGGCACUUGUAGCUCAUUUUGAUUUAGAGCUACAUCAAAUGGAUGUGAAAACUACAUUCUUAAAUGGGAAUUUGGAUGAAGAUAUCUACAUGGAACAACCUGAGGGGUUCGCAAAGAAAGGAAAUGAACACCUAGUUUGCAAAUUAAAGAAAUCCAUUUACGGUAUUAAACAAGCUUCCAGACAGUGGUAUAUUAAGUUCAAUAAUACCAUUACAUCUUUCGGAUUUAAAGAGAACACUGUUGAUCAGUGUAUAUAUCUGAAAAUUAGUGGGAGCAAGUUUAUAUUUUUGAUACUGUAUGUGGAUGAUAUUUUGCUUGCUAGCAGUGAUCUUGGUUUAUUACGUGAAACCAAGGAACAUCUCUCUAAAAACUUUCAAAUGGUUGAUAUGGGUGAGACAAACUAUGUUAUUGGCAUCGAGAUAUUUAGGAAUCGAUCUCAAGGAGUGUUAGGUUUAUCUCAAAAAGGAUAUAUUGAUCGAGUUUUAGAGAGAUUUAAUAUGCAGUCAUGUUCAUCAGGUGUUGCACCUAUAUUGAAAGGUGACAAAUUAAGUAAAAAACAAUGCCUAAGGAAUAACAUGGAAAGGGAGCAAAUGAAGAAAAUUCCUUAUGCAUCAGCUGUGGGAAGUUUGAUGUACGCUCAAACAUGUACAAGACCAGAUAUCAGCUUUGAUGUUGGCAUGUUAGGAAGAUACCAAAGUGAUCCAGGACUCAAACACUGGAAAGCAGCAAAGAGGGUGAUGAGGUACUUACAAGGGACAAAGGAUUAUAUGCUCACAUAUAAAAGAUCAGAACAAUUAGAGAUUGUAGGUUACUUGGAUUCUGAUUAUGGUGGUUGUCUCGAUAGCUUAAAGUCAACUUCAGGAUUUGUCUUUAUGCUGGCAAAUGGGGCAAUAUCGUGGAAGAGUGAAAAAUAAUCAAUUACUGCUUCAUCCACGAUGGAGGCCAAGUUUGUUGCUUGUUUUGAAGCCUCAAGUCAUGCUUUAUGGUUAAGGAAUUUUAUCUCAGGACUUGGUGUUGUCGACUCUAUUGCUAUACCUUUGAGAAUAUAUUGUGAUGACAUCGCAACUGUUUUCUUCUCUAAGAAUGGAAAAUUUUCUAGUGGAUUGAAACACAUAGAUUUAAAGUAUUUAGUUGUUAAAGAAAGAGUCCAGAAACAACAAGUGUCAAUUGAAAAUAUUAGGACCACACUUAUGGUUGUUGAUCCAUUAACUAAAGGAUUACCUCCAAAGGCAUAUUUGGAACAUGUUAUGAGGAUGGGUCUUUUGAGGAAUCCAUACUAUGUAUGAUAAUGAAUGGUGGUUAUGUAAUUGACAAUUUACGCAUUAAAGAUUGUUUUUGUUUAUUCUUGUUUUCAAUUAUGGGUGCACGUUUUAUUGUUUGAUAAACAAGAAUUAUCCCGACAAGACAAAUUACAGGGCCUGUUUGGCAUUAAGGACUGGGUUAGUUAGGGUUAUUGAUGUGUGGUGCAUGGAAGGAAACAUGACAUUAUGGUUAUGUGACCGCCAUGACUCGCAUUUAUGAUCUAAACUGAUUCAGUAUUAUGGUAUAUGAUUUUGGACGUAUUGGCUAUGUUUAUUGAAAUCGUGAUCACGUGUCAAAUUUAUUUUCCAGUAUAUAUUUUAUAUAUAAAAGUAUAUAUAUUAUAGUUUUCAUAAUCGGUUUAGUGGGCAAGUGGGAGAAUGUUAUUUCCACGUUAAAAUUAAGUGGGUGGCCCACUAACCUAGUGUUUUAAUUUUUAUCCACUUAUAAAAGUUUUUAGCCAAUUAAAGAAUGCCCAAAAUAGUUAAUAAUUAUUGUAAGGAUAUUUACCCAUUGAUGGAGUGGGUAAAUAAGAAUAAAACAGUUAUUAGAAUAACACGUUCAGAACAGUUUUCUGAAUAGUUAUUCUUGGCCCUCUUCUCCUAUCUAUAAAAGAAAGAUACAAAACCCCUUUUGCGAGUAAGUUCUCUUCCAUCAAUUAAAGGAAAUAAUUUUGUGUAUUAAAAUUUGAUAAGGAGAAGAAGAAAUCAAGAAUUUAAGGUUUAUAAAUUGAAGGAGAUCUCUCGAUUUAACAUGGCUACGUGUUCUUCAAACGGUAUGUAAUCAAUUCUUUGAAUUUUUGAGAUGUGUUGAAUUCAAUGAUCUUGAAUUUGUGUGUUAAUUUCUGCGUUAAAUAUGAACAGCUACUCCAAAUAAGAUUGAAUUUUCUAAUUCUUCCUGUGACAUAAUCUUUGAGAGAUAAGUUGGAGCAGCUAGCUGAAGUUCCUAUGCUUAUCACCGAGAGUAAGACAUCUAUGCUGGGGUGCUGUUUGACCUAGAUCACCAUGAAUAUCAAUAGUAAGUAAGUUUCUUUUCUGAUAAUGAGGACCAUGAAAAAAAAUGGUGAAAUAGUACAUUCCAAAGAUUUUUGUAUGCAUAACUAACUAAACCUUAAUGUUGGAGAAAAUGGUGAUGAACUCUCAAUUUUCCUAAAAGCUUAAGUUUGAAGGAUUUGAGUUCAAUAUGCAUAUCAUGCUCCUUAACACCCUCAUGUGAUCCUUAACACCUUCCCUCACAUGCGGUCCCAUCCCCACACGCGAAGAGAUAAACAAAAUUUGGAUUCAUAUCUAGAAAAACAAACAGGAGAUAUGCAAAUUAAGACCUUCAACCAAACUAAGCUUUAAUACCAUCUUGAACUACUAAUUUUCCAAAAAACUUAAACUUAUAGUAUUUAGGUUCAGUAUGCAUAUCAAAUGAUGGUUAUUCUUUUGUAAUAGGAUGUAAUUAUUCUUUUGUAAUAGGAUGCAUAUUAGGUCUCAUAACCAUUCUUUUACUCAAAGGGUGUCUUAAAUUGACCCUAAGUUAAAUUAUUCUUAAAUUGUUAACUUAAAAACUUAUUACUUAUUUUUAUUUUAUUUUAAAAAUUAAGGUUGUUUGGUUAACUUAAAAUCUAUUUUAAAAUAUCAUAUUAACAUAUUUAUUCUCAUUAAUUUUGAUUAAUAUUUAUAUUUUAACUAAUUUUAAAUAAUAAAUUUAUUUAUUAAAUAUUCAUAUUUAAAGUAUUGUAAAUAUAUAAGAUAAGUGUAAAAAUAUUAACUAUAAAAUAUGAAUUAAAUGUAAAGUCAUGAUUAUAAAAUAUACUCCCACUAAACAUGAGUAAAUGAGGUAAAAAAUAUUUGACAUUAAGAGUAAAUUAAUUAUUUUAAAGUUAUUAAUUUUGACUUUAAAUUGUGAUAUUAAAUUAUUUUAGUAAAUAUGUUUGAUCUCUUAAUAAAUUACAUGAAAGCAUUAAAUUAUAUAAAGUUAUUGAAUUGAUUAACCAAACAUCUAAAUUAAAUUAAGUCAUUAAGUUAUAUUAAGUUAUUAAGUUGAUUAAUGAAACAUUCUCUAAAUAUGAUAAAUUUUUUUUUUCCAAUUAUAUAGUUAACCUUCAAAGAAGGAAUUUUUCUAGACCCAUUCCUUUGCUUUUCGUUAAUGUUGCAUGUUGUCAUGUUCAAUCAAGUGUGUGAUUUCAUAACUUAAUUAACAUUGAUGAAAAUUUAUAUAUCAAAUAAACAUUAUUUUCUUACAGAAGCAAUUAAUAAAUGACAAAUUUGAGGUAUACAGCUUAGUACAAUCGUUUGGGAGAUAAAAAACAAAAGAAUCAAUCAAAUUACAAUAUUUUGAAGUACAAUUAUUACUAUAUAAGCAGCCCAUGCUUUGGCCAUUGGACACAUACAGCCAAGGGUAACUGGUACCGGAACAAUGAAGGGUCAAUCUCACUACUUCAAGUUUUUCUUGGGAUUUGGUGAUCUUGUCUCUCGGAGUCUCUUCUCAUCAGAGAGUAGCUUUGCAAACCUGCAAGGAGUAGGUAGUCAACUGUACUGUUAUAAAAGAUCUUUUAUACUUAAUGCAAUUAUACAAAUGUUUAAUAUCUUGUUCAAUUUAAUUUUUUUCUAUACCUUUUGAGAGCCUCUUCAUUAGUGCCGCAAUUUUCAACUGGCACAGAGAGACCUGUCUCCAAGUUCACCCUUGAAACUGGUUUCUUCAGCAGCCUUUCUCCGAUUUUCACAAGGUUGCCCAAGUUUUCCUUGGUGGUGACAUCAACCGUAGCAUUCGUUCCAUGUAAUGUAUCAUCCUAAUUUGACAUAGUUCAAGCAAAUAUUCAAUGCACAAGAAGGUUUAAGGCAAAAGCCAAAUGGAAACAUGAGCAUGUAUUGGAGGAGCUCACUUGGAUUCGGAGGUAGUUAUCUUCAGAAUGAAGGGCUUGGAAAACCACGGAAAUAUGGAAAUCAACCAUAUCUGCACUUGCUUGCGUAAACACAUCCACCAAAGGAGUGGAACCACCAUGAAGUAGCCAACCCAAAACGCCCCAUUUGGCUGCCAUUUUGGCAUUGUAUUUCUGUUCUGACUUUGGAGAGCCAGUUCCUAUUGAGAUCACUAGAAAGCGGCCAUAGUCCAUGGGUUUAAUUGGUAAGAAAUCUGGGUUUUUGUCAAAAACUUGUUUCGUUACUUGGCUUAUGGCAACUAAAGCCUGGAUCAUGGUGCCAAAAGAAGAAAAAAGAUAAAAGUCAGCUUAAUAUAUUUAAAUUCUGACACUUUGUUAUAUAUUAUUGCUUUAAGUGGUUAUUAUCUUACCGGAUUAUUUGCUGCGACACCACCAUCAAUAAGAUUGAGUUCCCGUGCUUUUCCUUCUUUAUCUUGGUUUUUAAAGAAAUAGGCCGGAAAGUAUGUUGGUGCUGCAGAGCUACCAAUGCAUAUGUCAGCCAGUGGAGCAUCCAAACUUGGGGAUCUUUUAACCUGCAUGAGGUUAGUUAAGAUUCUGUUACAUGUUAGCCAGGUAAUUAAUCUAGACUCACAAUCCAAACCCAAUUAAAUGGAGGGCCGAAACGGUAGAGCACGAGAGAGAGAGAGAGAGAGAGAGAGAGAGAGCAAGAUCAACCUCAUAGGAGGAGAAAAUGCUUGGCUGCAAACUCUUGAUAUCAAAAGUUGGAAUAACCACACUGGUCAAGGUCUGAUGCAACCGAGUCCUUCCUAGUUUCUCCUUUAUGAGGUUGUGAAGGUAUUUCCCAUCAUAAUUGGGCCCAACUAUUGAUCUAAAAAUAUUCAUGAUCCAGCCGAAAAUACCCCUGCCAUUAAACAAAAAUUCUUUUGUUAGUUACCAUAUGAAAUUCCAAAACAAGACGUAAUCCUAGGUUUUCACAUACUCUAUAUGAAUCGAUCUUCAAAAGAGAAGCAAGAACAAUCUGUAUCAAAUAUUACCUUCUGUGUGGAAAUAUUUUAGGGCCGUGCUCAAGAUAAAAGGGCUUGAUGUCUUUGGCUGCGAAUAGAGGACGUUUCUCAUCAUUCGGAGCAGUUAGCAUGGCAGUCACAAGACCACCUGUGCUUGUUCCAGCAAUCACAUCGAAGUAGUCUGCAAUCCUUGCAUCAUCACCAUCCAGCUCCUGAUAUAUUCAAUAUUGUAUUGUUUGUGGUUAGUGUUACCUAAAUCCAUUAUUUUAUCUUAUAUUUGACACUUGGACCACAGUAACAUAUUUGAGGAUUAUUAGCAGGUUGCAUUCUUUCUAAUUUUCAAUAUAUUUGAGGAUUGCAUAUAUAGGCUAUACGCAAUACAACAAAUUUUAAAAUAUGUAGUAUGGUAGGUAGGUGAGCGGGAUUGAAUAAGCAUUUGGAUUGUAAUUGUUCACUGUUUUUUAAAGUUGUGUAGUGAUAAUUUUUAAAGAAAAAUCGCUCCAAGAACCCUACUUUGACAUGCAGUAGAAUAUAGAGAUGAAAUAUGUGCAAACAUCAUCCACAUGAUAUUAAAUAAUUUAUACCUGAAGUUGAGAUUCCAGACAAGCAAGGAUAGUUGCAGGAAUGAUGCCCCUGAUACCACGUCCAUCAAUACUAAGAAUGGUGACUAGGUUACCAUAAGUUGGGGGCUGGAUUUGAGGUAAGAGUGAUUUCUCCAUCUGAAAAAUGAUAAUUAUAGGAUUGUAUGCACUAACUUACAACAAGAAACUAAGAAAUCCUUGGAUAAAAGAAAGAUGUGAAGAAAAACAAAAGGGCUUGAGGCACCAAGAAAGAUGGCCUUGAGCAAGAAAAGGAUGAGAAAAAAGAAACAAUGCUCGAGUUGUCUUCCCUCUUGUGUUGGAUUGCAUUGUCCAGAAUCUAUUUAUAGGCUAAUCGAGCAGCAAGGCACGUGCUAUAGAAUGCGGUUACUGACGAGUAGGUAACGUGAUAUGAUGAUGAAGUCUGCUUCUAGCACAGAGCCCCUUUCCCAGAUAUUCUUUUAGUUUAUGUGGUCAACACACUCCAUUAAUAGGAUAUUCUGUGUGCAAGUAAUUACACACAGAAUGAAGGCGGCUGGCCAGAUUUAACAUGAGAAAAUUGAGUUGAAUGAGUCUAAUAUUAAAAUCACAUUGUUCAAAAAUAAAAAACAGAUGAAGUCUGCUCCCACCAAGUUUCCAUACCACAUUUUGAAGUAUAGUUAGUUCUCGUUCUGAUAUUAAUCCAGACUAAGGCUGGCAGCUUCCAACACUGGUAUAAUAGCAUGUUUUCCAUCUUUUUUUUCUCCCCUGUAUAUACACAUAUUAUAAAGUCCAUAGUAUGAACCUUGUUUCAUCGUUAACAACUAAAGAAAGAUAAAUUAAUGAACAUGCAAAUGAACGCUCAUGCUUACGAGGAUGAUUAUUUUGAUAUUUUAUGAUAGUACAACUAGCAGUCUGCUUUGUCAUGCUGUUGCAUCCUCCUAUUCUUGUAUUUGUGUGUAAGGGACAAAUCAAACUUUGAGGAUUGCAUGACAACACGACAUCAUGCUCAUCACAGAUGUUGUUCAAUUGUUCAGUUUAUAUAAACAUGAAACACAUGGUACGGAGAACCAGGACAAAUCAACCUCUUAAUCAUUACAUACACGGCAUCAUGUUCAUUAUAAAUAUUGGUGAUGACAUAAUAAUAUAUGCUAAAUAGGGUGUAACAAAUAAAAAAAAAAUUAAGACUAUGAAAGUGAAAUUAGAGAAAGAGUGUAUGUGAGAGAAACCAAAAAAAAUAAAAAAAUAAAUUUAAAACAUGAUGAAGACGACGGUGAAGGAGAUGUUUCACCAAACAUUUCAUUAUUUACUAAAGAAAUAAGUUUGGUUUAAUCUUCCUUGCAAGCUAUCUUACUUUUUUUUAUUACAACCUAUGCUCAAUUAUGCAAUGAUUAUACAACGUCAUUUCCUUGAAAACGACAUUGAUUACUUGGCACUAUAUAAUUUGCAUGCUUUAUUUGUUGGUAAUAUUAUGAUUUUUUACUAUAAUAUUCUUUUCAUGACGGGUGGUGUCGGCUCCAGAAAGGCUGCAUCAGUGCACAGUGAUUCUCAAUCAGAUAUUAGGGCACCCAGAUAAUAUUUUUGUGUUUGUGUCACUGUUGUCCUUUAAAAUUAUUUAUCCUUACAUCUAAAUAAUUUGUUUUCUUGUGGUUGUAGAUUUGAUAUAAAGUUGAUUCAGAUAAACCAGUUUUUAAUCUUGAAUUUAAAAAAAGAAUAAUCUAAAAUAUAAUGGUGAAAAUGAAAAGAAAAAAAAAAUGAAUACCAUUCCUAAAUGGAAAUCUUGGUAAUUGAAAAACUUCGUCAACAUAUACCAAUGGUUUAUUAAUGGCUAUUAAAGUUUCAUGUAGGGACUAAAAUUUCUUGACAUAUCUUCAAUGGACAAAGAUCAUUUUUCCAAAAAUAAAUUGUCUUUAAAUGUAUUGAUUCCUUUUCUUUUGCGUUAGGCAAUGGAUGUUCUUCAAGUGAAAACCACACUUGUAGAGUUGUGUCCACACUAACAAUCAUACCAAGUACUUCUGUCAUUAUACCAAACAACCAAGAAAUGAGUAGUCCAACAUUCUUAGUCCAGGCAGUGUGUUGAGGGUUCAAGAAAAACUUUUCUCAGUUGUAUCCAAGCCAACAAUCAUACCAAAUGCUCUUCUAUCAUUAUUCCAAACAACCAAGAAGUGAGUAGGUCCAGGCAGAGUGUUGAGGAUUCAACAACUUUUCUCCAUUUUCAUCAAAUUUUUCUUUUGCGAGCUUAUUAGCAUCUAUGAGAUGGUGUGCUAUUCCAAGACUUCUAAUAAGAGGCAGAACUUGUGAACACCAUAGAAGAAAAUUAGAAGUGUUUAAUUUAAUUGAUACAAGACUAAUGCAUUGGUUAAAGAAUUGGAUAGUGAGUUUGGGUUCAUCUUGACUGACCAUAUUUGAAAGGAUUGGAUUAUAGGCUCUGAUGCCAUGUGAAAACAAAAAAACACUAAGCAAACCUUUGAAGAUUAUUAUACAGAGAGAAUGUAUGUACAAUUGUCGGGAUGACUUUUAAUAAACAAUGACAGAGUUAUACACAUUAAGUAAUAAGAAAAUUUUCGAGAACUCAGUAAUGACAUCAGUUAUUUAGUAAGUUCCCACUUGGUCGCAUCCUGAUGAAACUUGAGAAUUAAGGUGCUAGUGAUUGAGCUCAAUUUGAGUAUUGCAACUAAACACUUCUUAUAAAAAGGAAAUGGAUGAGAAAUGAGAGGGAAUUUUUUUUGAGCAAACACACUUUCUUUCUUAGAAUCCAAACUUGAGGAAUACAUCAUAAUACAAUCAUUUUUCUGUUUACAUAACUCAUUUUAUCAUUACUUUCUAGAAAUUUGUUUGUGUGCUCCCUACAAUUUAAGUCAUGUAAAUUGUAGAUAAGAUGUCCAAUGCCAAGACUAAGUGGACUGUUAGUUACUGAUCAGGUUUUCCCACAACACCACUCAACUGUUAAAAUGAUGAAACUAUUGCAUAAAGGUAAGGUAGGUAGCUAAUUAUAUCUAAAAAUAAGAUUAAAUUAAAAUAGCUACCAAAAUUUUUUACUUUUAUCUUUAUCAAUCAGUUCUGGGCACUUAAUUUGCAAAGUUGGAAGCAUGAAGGAUUACAGCAUCCUGAAUGAACUUCAAUUUAGGAACUAAAGGUAGCUAAUUGGUAUUUAAAUUAAUUGAACAUUGUUUAUCAUGGUUAGGCAGAGAUGUGAGGCACCAGUGAAGUGAAAAAGGAUAGGGCUGCUCAACUAUGGAAAUCUGGUCGCCCUAGUGAAUUAGUGAACAAUUCACUGGAAGCUUCAAAUUUCUUGCACAGCGUGGCCAAUUUCAUUUUCAAGUUUAGCUGAACCUAGAGCAGAAAUAAUACUAAUACAGGAUAAUUCCAACUUCUCUACAGAAUUGGGAUUAUGGGUACAUAUGCUGGAAAUACUUUGUUCCUUGUGAUCUUUGUAAAGCUUAUGUUUAUCUUUUUAAUCAGUGGCCUUGACCAUUCCACCAUUCCACCAUUCCAAAUUAAGCUAUCACUUCAUUUAAUACCACAGUCCAUGCAUGAACUAUUUUAUUCUGAGAUUAUUUUUUUUCACCAUAUAUAAUGAUGCUAAAUAAAAGGAACUAAAUAAAAAAUCAAAACACACGACCCUGCAUCACACCUCACUAGUUUACUUACAGACUCAAUACUUCACAUAUAUAUGCAAUGCCUUCUCCUGGUUAGAUCUUUCAUUUUCACAAACUGAACCUACAAACCCAUAUAUAAUAGGAUGGGUAACUAACCAUGGCAGAACUAUUACUUUUCAUGGAAGCUAGCUAGAUAUGAUCUAAUGUAAUUAACAAUGCAUUCCUGAUUCUUUGUGAUGCUUUAUAACAUGGGAAGUCCAUUUGCUUACCAUUUAUCACAUAUAUAGACUUGAUCUGAUCAUGGCAAUAAAUAAUGGCAAUCCUUUAUAGCCCAGCUACUUUUGUUUAAGGGUUUUCUUUUACCAUGCGUACCUUUGAUAUCUCAACUUAUGUGCAUCAAUUAACAUAUAUGAGAUAGGGGUUCAUGUCUUCCUAGUAUGCACAGCUUAAUUUCUACCAAAAAGUCUCACAUGUGGAGGUAUGAUUUAAGGGCUUUGAUGAAAUGAGAAAAAUGAGCUAAUGGCAAAAUUCUGAAGUUGUUAAAACACUGAAUCAACUCGCAUUUUCAUUUACUUUGGAUGAAGAUGGAGCUGAAGGAAAAGUGCUUGAAGUUUUCUUAAUAAUCCAUCCAUUUUGCUUCACCUAAUUAGAUGAAGGGAGAAGCGCAAAUAUAGAAGGUAGAUUCACUUGGAGUUUCUCUUACUUUACCUUACCGGAUCCCUAGACCUAGCCAAUUAAUUAACCAGGACCACCACCACCCAUCAGUGGUUUAUGUCCAUUUAUAAAUACAGUCAAUUAUAUGCUGCCACGUCCUUCACUGUAACCCCUGCCUUGUAAACCGGUCCUUGCUGUCUUGAAACGCUGCCCAGCAAUGGUUUAAUAUAGUAUGAGAGAAACCACAGAAAAAUCUAUAGGACAUUCAUAAAUUUUUAAUCAUUCCGUGUCAAACAUACCCGACUUUAUAGUUUCUGACUUCUUCAGGUUUUUGCUUGUUCCACAUCCAGCAGGUUUUUAACUUUAUGGAGUCAACAAUUUCAAGCAAGUGACAUCUUAAACGUUGUUUUCUGAAAAAAAAAAAAAAAAAUCAGAAAUCUAACUCACAUGUAUCCAAUAGAAGAUUGUAGCAAAAUUGAAUUGCAAACCAAACACACAAAAGAAGUCCAAAAGAAUAUUUCAUUCUUUCACAGUUCAUUAGCAAUAUUACAGUCUACCCGUGAUUAUUCACUCUCUAAACAAUGGUUAUGGAUCUAAAUUAAUGCCGAUUGCAGCUAACCAAACCCAAGCUAAGGGGAAGUUUAUUACAGCACAAUCAAUUAUAGAAGAAAAUAGCUAAUUUUAAAUUGAUGAUGCCCUACAUGCUGCAUGUCCAUGAGGCGAUUUAGCUAUGAAGCUUCUUUUCUUGGGAGAGCAGGUUUGCAAACCUGCAGGAUUGAAAGCUACUUAUUGUGAUUGUGAUAUUGAUUCAGAAAAUAAAAAAUAAAAAAUGUAUUUCUACAAACCUUAUGCGAGCCUCUUCAUUGGUCUCCUGAUUAGUAGGAACAAAGAUACCCGACUCCAAAUUAAAUUCAUCCUUGAAACUGGUUUCUUUAGCAGUCGUUCCCCAACUUUUACAAGAUUUUUUACUUUCUUCCAUGGCAAUAUCAACUGAAGAUACUAGUCCUUUUAGGGUAUCAUCCAACAGUUUAAUUUUUAUUUGAAGGUGUCAAAAGUAGUGUUAUGGUGGACCAGAAAACAAGGAAGAAAAUCAUUUUUCAUCUCCAAGAAUAUAGAGGAUUUUAACAACAAUAGCUUUGAUGUUGUAUCAAUGCUUGUAUAAAGACGUGCAUGAGCAUGUAUGCCUACCUGAAUCCGAAGGUAAUUCUUUCCCGAGAGAAGGGCUUGAAAAACCAUGGAAAUAUGGAAGUCUACCAUAUCUGUGCUUGCUUGUGUAAACACAUUCACUAAUGGGGUGAAACCAAUACUAGUUAACCAUCCCAAUAUAUAUGGAAGUCAACCAUAUCCAUAAUUGUUUGUCUUUAAGUUUUUCCUUUACAAGGCUUUGCAAAAACUUUCCAACAUAUUUUGGACUUAGUAAGGCUUUUGAUUAUCUUUAUAAUGAGGUAAAACAUAACUGUCAUUUAGGAAAAAAAAAAAAAAAAAAGAAGAAAAAAAUCAUGUUAACAACUAUAAAAAUAGUAACUUUGUGACAUUCAAUUCAACAUAAUUAUACUGGUUAAUGAAUUCUUUGGUUGUGGGCAAAUUUUAAGAGACUGAUUAAGGUAGAGAUUCUCAAUGCCUUUGGCGGCAAACAUGGGGCAAUUGUCUUACUAGGUGCAGUUAGCAUGACAGUCACAAGACCACCUGUGCUUGUCCCAGCAUCAUAUCAAAAUAGUUUACAAUUCUUCAAUCCCCUCCAUCCAACUUCUAAACCUAGUAGAAACCACUUAGAGUUAAUACUUGCAUUAUAAUAACCACUGUUAACAUCAACACAAAUGAAGUGGUAAUAUAGAAAAUUGUUGCAGCUUCAAAAACGCCCUCCAUUUAAAUAUACACAGGUGAAAAAUGGCAUAUAUGCCAAAAUUCUGGUUGAAUUGAUAUGGCAGAGGUAGCUUGUAGAUAUGAAUGUCAUGAUUAGUAUCACUCUUCAUAUAUGGAAUAGAAGAGUGAUGCUCCUGAUGCUUGGGGAGCUUGUUGAUAUUUAGAUCUUACCUGAAGUUCAGACUCUAGAAAGUUAGGGGUAGUUAAUUCCUAGGAUAAUCCUUUUUAUCCCACCUUCAUCAAUGUUGAGGAUGGUAAUUAAUUAGAUUCCCAUAUGUUGGAGGUUGCUAGGGUGAUUUUAAUUUGCUCCUUCCAUGAUGGUAUGAAGUAAAAGAGAUAGAUGUAUAGACUUUCUUUAGAAAAAAUUAUAAGAUCUUGAAAUAAAUUUUAAUAGAAAAAGAAAUUGUAAGACUGAAGUACUCUUUCAUAAAGCAUGAGAUAUUAAAGUUCUACCAAGUUAAGAGAAAGAAUCUAUGAAUAUGGAAGACUUACGUAACAUGGGUAUCUAUGUUUAUAGCAUGAUAUGUAAUUUAAUUUUUCCCCUAAGUUUCAUUAGUUCACCGUCUAUACUUAAUUCUUUGACUUUGUCCCUACAUGUACUUUCCUUGAUGUGGCUUUGGUUGGAGAUGAUGAUCACUAACAUGGUUAUCAUUCAAUGAAAAACAACUGUUAAAUCAUUUUAUCAUAAUGGAAAGAUGGCCCUUGUAGGCACUCAAUAUGGGAAUUGUAGGUAGAGUACUACUCUAAGAGAAUUUUAGGUAAGACUAAUUAGGUAAAUGCGUAUAGCUAAAAAUGGAAUGCAUCAAUCCAACCAAACUAUUACCCUAAGCAACAAAGGCCACAAUUUCUAAAUAAAUAACUUAAUGUGAAUUGUAGUAUCUAGCAUGUUUACAUGAAAAUAUUCUUGCUUGCAUGUUGAAUUCAAGAAGUUAGUUUGUAUUCUAAAUGUCGCUUUUUUUUUUUCAUAAUAGGUGGCGCCUACAUUCUAAACACCAACUUUUUUCACAAUAGGUGGCGCCUACAUUCUAUAUAAACAUCUACCAUUUUUUUUUUUUUUUUUUGCAAUAUGUGGUACCUCGUCAAGGUGCAAAAGAAUCAAUUGGUGCGAAAAAUUUGUAAUUCAAUCAAAUCAAUUCCACGGGCCUCAAAAAAUGAGAAAUAAUAUUGAUGAUAUGACAAUGAUGAAAGCCUCCAUCAAGUUGAUGACGAAAGAGUCAAAGCCUCGAUCAAGGAAGGCAGCUGAGUGUAGCAUGCAUGAACCAACAAUGAACUCUGGUUUACCAUUUAGUUAUGAACAAUAACAGGAGUGUUCAACUUUGAUUUACCUUUUUGCUAUGAACAAUUUCAGGAGUCGUCAACUCUGGUUUAAUAUUCUGUUAUGUGGAGAAACCUCCUUAAGAUGUUUUCACUGUUGUUUACACGGUGGGGCACAAGUAAUUAAUACUGCAUUUCUUUGGAAAAGGCGAAGCCUAAGGGAUACAAUUGGGAGUGGAUGAGUAAAACGGGGAAACCAAAUUUGCCCAACCUAACCAGAAAAACUACCGUAGCAGUUGUGUAUACAGAAAGAGCAUUUAUAUGUGCAGAAAGAAAAGACGCCCAAACCCCUUCAUUUGAUGCCUUGUGCAACAGAUGCGGAUUGGGAUAUAUCUGCUCCCAAAAUGGAGAAUAUUGGUGCUGAAGUAAUGUGCUGAAUAUUGUUAUUAGAAUGGGAUGAUAUGUCAUUUUGAAGGCGAUGGAGUUUUGGUUAGUUGUUUGUCACGAGCGCUCUGAGGCUAGUGGAUGUAGGUGGCAUUAAUUGUGGGUUGGUGUGGUUGUGUUGUUGGUGGGGAUUGAAAUGCUUAAAUAUUGAUUCAAUCACUAUGGAGGGAUUUUGAUAUAUUUUUUAUAUGAAAGAAAGUGAAAGCAUUUAUCAGGUUUCCUCUUGAGCUUUAGAGAUCUUUAAUCAAAUUAGAAGCCUUAGAUAUAUUUUUUUUAUGAAAGAAAGUGAAAGCAUUUAUCAGGUUUCCUCUUGAGCUUUAGAGAUCAUUAAUCAAAUUAGAAGCCUUAGUAAUGAUAUUCUGGAAAAAUAAAAAGUAUUGUUUCUAAGAAGGUUGUCAAAAAAGUUUGAUCAUGUAGUUGCUGCAAUUAAAGAAUCCAAAGAUUUCUUAAGAACCAGAAUUAAUGGAGCCACUUAAAACCACAUGAGCAAAGAAUCAACAAGCAUUCCAUUUCACCUAUGGACUAAGCUUUUCAAUCAAAAACCAAUGUUGCUGAUAACAAAGGUUUUAGGCAGAGAAAGUAAAAGGACGGGGGUUUUGGGUAAUGGGCCUAUCUAAGGCCCUCCUCUGUGUCUUCAAAGUUGGUCUAGUUUGGGGCCAGGAUUAAAACUUGGCUAGCGUGAAUGGCCCAAGAAGAAAAAUGGCAAAGUAAGAUGUGGAAGAGCUAAGCAUGAGGAGUAGUGGAGAUAGUUAGUGCUUGGAGUUGUAACUACUUAAAAUGGCAAAGAGAGAAUCAAUAAUGAGGAGGAAAAUGCCCCCAUAGACUCUACACCUAUCGAUAGAUGAAGGGUAUAUCAAUGCAACUGGCUAGGCCAUCACCAAGAGAGAGGUAAGAAAGAACAAUAAGAAAUACUCUUUUUUUAUAAAUAAAAAAUAAAAAAAACAAAAAAAACCCCAACUAACUUAACUAUUGGAGAAGCUUAUCUCAGGGCUAUACCGGGUAAGCCUUGUGUUGCAAGUAAAAAACGCACGGCAAGUAGAAGAUUAUAGCUUAAGAAAUUUUCAACUCCAACAAGUGGCGUCAUUUGUGGGAAGUUUCUAUGUUGAAGUAUAGCUUUCACUUUGAACUUGACGUAGAACCCUUUUCUUUUUGUCUGGAGUUGGAAGUUAGACAAUGGGAGACAAUUAGUUGUGGGAUUCAAUUAGUACAACAAUCCCCCGGAUGGCCACUACCUCAAAAACUCUUUGCGAGGGUUUUGAAAGAUUCUAGGUGGAGCAGGAAAGGAGAAUGGAAUCCAUUCUUGCUCAAACUGAGUUGCUAAAGCAAGAAAAUGCCUUAUUGCAGAAACAACUAGAAGAUCGGCAGGUUCGCAGUCAAAUGUUGCAUCAACCAGCAAGCAAUCUUGAUCAUAUACGCCAGCAAGAUAAUGAUGACAUGGUGGAGCCUUUAGAUCAUGCAGUUCCCCUUGGUCAAGCUCCUCACACCAUCUUAAACUCGCAUAGGGGACACCGCCCAUCUGAUGCUAGGAUUCCAAGAAUGUUGGUCACUGAAAAAGUCGAUGAGGUAGACAACACCUCUCGGCGGGGAUCCCAACACCCAUUAUAUUCAAACUCAGGUAGCCGACAACAAAUGAGAUUGCCCUAGGUUGAAGUCACGAGAAGGAUGGCUCGACCCCUGUCUUUAGCAGUUUGGCUCCCUCAGGAACGUCCAAACGAAUUGCCCCUAAGGGCCACAACUUGCCACUUGAAUGAUAUGAUGACAAUGUCAUUUGAUCAACAUAUUAUGAUGUAUGAACCCCCAAGAGGAUACACCAUUCCUAAGUUCGUCAUGUAUGAUUGUACAUAUGAUUCAUUCAACCAUUUAAUGCAUUAUCAAAAAAUGAUGACGCUAGAUAUCGACAAUGAUGAACUCCCUUUGUAAGGUGUUCCCAACGAGUCUCCAGGGCAUUGCCCUAGCUUGGUUUCACCGGUUUUCCCUUAAUUCUAUUCACUCCUUUAGGGAGAUGUCAGAAGUCUUCGUUGCGCACUAUUUGUGCUUAGCAAGGCAGAAGUUUAAUAUAAGUAGUCUUCAGAACUUGAAUAAAAUAGAAAGUGAGACUUUGGGUCAAUUCAUGCAUAGAUUCAACCAAACAAUGCUCUAGAUAGAAAGAUGCAAUAUGGAUGCUUUACUACAAGCAUUCAAACGCAACAUUGGCCUUGGGACUCCAUUCUUUGAAUGUCUCUCGAAAAAAUCGCCAUAAAUAGUCAAUGACUUGUUUAGAAGGGCCAAUAAGUAUGCCCUGUUGGAAGAAGAUUUACAGGUUGUUGCCAGCCCUGUUUUGGCAUCAACACAGACAACACGAGCAAGAAAAAAUGCAGGAAACAAACGUCAGGGCCCGGGUAAUCCCUCAUAAGACAAGAAGUCAUGUAGGAAUCAGAAAGACCAAAGAACACCCCGAUGGUGGACCCCACUUAGCUUGACUUAUGGACAGUUGCUUCCCAUUAUGAGUAGUUUGCCCGAUUUCAAGUGGUCUUUCGCUCUCAAGGGACUCACCGCAAUGAGAUCAAACUCGACAUUGUGAAUAUCACAAAGAACAUGAACAUACUAUAGAGGAAUGCCGACACUUUCGUUAUUUGGUGGAGGAAUGGUGAGAAUCAGCUUGAUCUCCCAAUAUGUCGAGAAAAGUGAACGAUUGACCAUUGGGAGUAACAAGCAAGUUGUAGCUGGCAUGGUUUAGCCAGAUGGAACCCUGCCAAUCAUUCACAUCAUUCAAGGAGGGCUUGUGGAUCAAUGCUGGAAGUCAAAGCGCCGUCGACGAGCAAUGAUCUAAGAAGCAAUCGAUGUCGAGAAGAUUAGCAUGGAACAAUAUUCCUUUGUUCCAGGGACAAUGGAACCUAUGGAUGGGGUUGUCUAUUUUAGCCCUUGGGAUCCGGCCUUGGUAAUAGUGCCCCAUGAAGAUGCUCUUCUCUUGUCACUCAAAAUUGCUAGAUUCCAAGUCUGUCAAGAAUUAGUUGAUCCUAGUAGUUCAGUUGAUUUUCUCCACAUCUCGGCUUUUGAGUAGAUGGGCAUCCCAAUUUAUACUUUAGGAGGCCCAGAUUGAGUACUAACAUACUUCAAUAGCUUAACAUCCUGGUCUUUGGGGAAAAUAAUUUUGCUAGUAGAAGCCAGCCUUACAGCCCUAAACGCCUGCUUUUCAGUCAUAUUAAAUCCUUCGCCUUAUAACACUAUACUGAGAAUAGAAUGGAUUCAAAAAAUGAAAGCUACCUCAUCAACUUAUCACCAAAAAGUCAGUUUCCUUAGAAAAAUGGGACAGGUUGAUCUAUUUGGAAGCUAACUAGCAGCAAGGCAAUGUUAUCAGGUAAAUGUCAGGCUUGUAGGAGAGGAAAUCGAAAGUGUCUGCACUGACAGUGAGGCCCAACAGAAAUAACAAUUACUAAAAAAAGGGGAAUGAGCAAGAGCCUCUAGUCGUUGACCCACUCGUUUGCAUAGAAAUACAAAAUGGGGGACGAUAUAGAGUUACUUAUGUUAGCUUUAUGCUGACAUAGCAAGAGAAAUAGCUAUUAGUAAACCAACUAGAUAAGAAUGCCAUACUUUUUCUUGGAAGUUUUCUAACAUGUGAGGAAUAUCCCCUGAAGUGAUUAGCCUUAAACUUGGGAUCCACCUAGAAUCAAAGCCUGUUUAUCAGAAAGUAAGGAGACUCAAUUAAAAAAAGUAACAGAUAGUUCAACAUGAAAUAUCCCGAUUGCUCGAUGUGGGAUUCAUUCAAGAGGCUAGCUAAUGUAGUAGUUGUGCCAAAAAAAAAGGCAAGUGGAGGGUCUGUAUUGAUUUUACUAACCUAAAGGAGGUGUGCCCAAAAGAUAGUUUCCCUUUACCACACAUUGAUCAAACAGUUGAUGCCACUUCAAGGCAUAAAAUGUUUUCAUUUAUGGAGGUCUUUUCUGGCUAUAAUCAGAUUCCCAUAUAUCCUCCUGAUUCAGAAAAGACAACAUUCAUAACCCCUUUCAGAACUUUUUGUUACAAUGUUAUGCCUUUCGACCUUACGAAUGCAGGAGCCACUUAUCAGCGACUCAUGACAAAGAUAUUCUAUCUUAUGUUAGGCAAAACAACGAAAGUUUAUAUAGACGAUAUACUUGUAAAAAGCUAGAAACAGGAGGAUCACUAUGCAAAUUUACGACAAGCUUUUAACCUAUUGUCGCACUUUGGGAUGAAGUUAAAUCCAACUAAAUGUGCAUUUGAUGUAUCUAUUGGUAAGUUUUUGGGUUUCCUAGUCAUAGAGUGUGGUAUAGAAAUAGAUCCUACUCAAAUAAAGGAAGUACAAGAGUUACCUUUUCCACGUAAUAAAAAAGAAGUACAACAUUUAAUAGGAAAAAUGGUUGCAAUAGCCCGUUUUAUCUCCCAAUACACUGACCACCCGAAGCCUUUCUUUAAUGUAAUAAAGAAAACCAAGAUCUUUGAAUGGACAGUGGAGCACGAGGAUACACUCUUAGUUAUAAAGAACUAUUUGGUUUCGCCCCCAAUCUUAAAAAGUCCUCAAUUGGGAAAUCCCCUAUUUUUGUAUCUAGCAACAUCAAAAUUGGCAAUUAGUGCGGUUUUGUUUAAGUUGGGCCUUAAUGGAAGUCAAUUACCAGUCUAUUAUGUUAAUAAGGCGAUGCUACUGGCCGAGCAAAACAAUUCCCUACUAGAAAAGGUGGCGCUGGCCUUGUGAGUGAUCUCAAAGAAGUUGUGCCCCUACUUUUAGGUGUGCCAGGUGAAUGUUUUAUCUAAUGUCCUUUUUCGGGCUAUCUUACAUAGGCCUGAGUUGUUUGAGCAACUAGUAAAAUGGGCCACAUAGUUGAGUGAAUUUGGUUUGCUGUAUUUACCCCAUUUGUCACUCAAAUGACAAGUCUUAGCAGACUUUAUUGUUGAAUGGCCAGAUUCUAAAGUCGCUCAGACCAAAUGUCAAUGGAAUGCUGGAUUCUUUAUGUUGAUGGAGCGUCACGUGGUGUAGGAGCGGGAAUAAGGCUUGUCCUGCAAUCCCCCAUAGGAGAAUGCUUGGAGCAGGUAGUUCGGAUGGGUUUUUGCACUUUAAACAACAAGGCUGAGUAUGAAGUCAUGCUUGUCGACAUAGGCCUGGCAUUGUCAGUCCAAGCUAGCCACCUCAAUAUAUGGAGUGACUCACAGCUAGUGGUAAACCAAGUGCAAAGCGAUGAUGAAUUAAGAUAUGUUAGAAUGAUGAGGUAUCUUGAUAAAGUUAAGCUUCAGCUUCAAAAAUUCAAUGAGUGGAAGAUGACUCAGAUCACUAGGGAAGAGAAUGCUCGGGUAGAUGCAUUAGUCGAGGUAGCAAUUUCCUUAGCAGUUACGCAAAUAGUAACUUUGCCCAUUUAUUAUCAAGACAAUCCAUCAAUACUAAAAAAAGGCCAGGUAAGUCAGGUGUAUGAUGCCCAAGGAAGUUGGAUGGGACAGAUUAUUAAGUAUUUGGAAGUAGGGGAACUCCCAGAGGAUGAGCAUCAAGUGCAAUAACCACACUGGUCAAGGUCUGAUGCAACCAAGUCCUUCCUAGUUUCUCCUUUAUGAGGUAUUGAAGGUAUUUCCCAUCAUACUUGGGCCCAACUAUUGAUCUCAAUAUGUUCAUGAUCUAGCCAAAAAUACCCUUGCCAUUAAACAAAUUUUUUUUUUGUUAGUUACCAUAUGAAAUUCCAAAACAAAACAUAAUCCUAGGUUUUCACAUACUCUAAUAUUGUUAAUGUUACCAUAUAUAAUUUAGGAAUCAUAUUGGUUGUACAUAUAGGAAUGUUAAUGUUACCAUAUACAAUUUAGGAAUCAGUUAGACUCCAUGUAUAGGAUAUAUAUCAGUAUAUAGAUGGAUGCAGUGAAAUAUAAAAAAACUUAUCAGAGUUAUUAGAGCAAGGUUUCGACACCUUCCGAGUGGAGUUCGUGAUCUUCUACCAAUCAAAUACUUGGCAUCGAAAACAGUGUUGAUUGGGUUCAUCGCGACCUAGUUCUUGGCCGUUUCUAUUCCAAUUCUCUUGUGGGCUAUUUCCUUUGUCUCUUGGUUGCAUCAUGUCAUCAGAUAAGUUGGAAUCAUUUCCUAUUAGAUUUACUAGAAAAAAUUAUUGUGCUUGGGAGUUUCAAUUUAAAUUAUUUGUUAAAGGAAAAGAAUUAUGGGGUCAUAUUGAUGGAGUAAUCUUGCACCUCGUGAUGCCAAGGCUUUGUCUAAGUGGGAAGGUGAGGAUGCUCGGGUUAUGACUUGGAUCCUUAGAUCGGUUGAACCUUGUUCUCAAUAUGAGGUCUUAUAAAACUAUUGCUACUAUGUGGAAUUAUCUCCACAUGGUUUACAAUCAAGACAACUCUGCUAGGCAUUUUCAAUUGGAGUAUGAGAUGGCUAAUUUCACACAAGGAAGUCUCUCAAUUGAGGAAUAUUUUUCUGGUUUUCAAACUCUUUGGACUGAUUAUUCUGACAUUGUUUUUGCUAAUGUUCCCGCUAUAACUCUCUCUGUUGUCCAAGCAGUGCAUGUAACCAACAAGCGAGAUCAAUUCUUGAUGAAGCUACGACCCAACUUUGAAAUUGCAUGGUCUAAUAUGAUGAAUUGUCAUCCUGUACAAUCUCUGGAUGCCUGCUCAAGUGAACUUAUGCUUGAGGAGCAGCGUAUCAUAACUCAAGCUACCAUGGAACAUCGUGCUAAUGUUAGUGCACCUGUUUCAGUGGCUUAUGUAGCACAAGGCCAGAAUAAGGGUUGAGACAUGCGUGUUGUCCAGUGCUUUAGUUGUAAAGAUUUUGGUCACAUUGCUUAGGAUUGUCCCAAGAAGUUCUGUAACUACUGCAAGAAACAAGGUCAUAUCAUCUCUGCUUGUCCCAUUCAGUCUGAAAGGAAGUAGGGUACUGCUUAUCAUGCCUCCACCUAUGCCUCUAGUUCUGCUGCAUUGCCUGUUGCCUCGUCGGUUGUUCCUAUUCCUGCUCCUACAGUCUUAGAAAACUCGAACACACUCACUCCUGAAAUGGUACAACAAAUGAUCAUUUAUGCUUUUAAGCUCUUAGGUAAUCAUACGGUUUCUUCUAAGCCAUGGUAUUUUGACUCUGGAGCUUCUAACCAUAUGAUGAAUACUGUUAUUUUUCUUUCCAAUGUCAAAAAUUAUGAUGGAAAUCUGAAAAUUAACAUUGUUGAUGGUAAUUCUCUGCCUAUCAGUGCUGUUGGGGAUCUUUCAUCUUCCUUAACUGAUGUUUUUGUGUCUCCUGACCUCUCCACAAAUCUUAUUUCUGUUGGUCAAUUGGUUUAUAAUAAUUGUAAUGUCAAUUUCUCCCAUUCUGGUUGUGUUGUGCAGGAUCAAGUGUCCGAGAAGAUGAUCGCAAAGGGGCCUAAAGUGGGACGACUCUUUCCUCUUCAUGUUUCUCCUUCCACUAUUAUUCCUAGUUUUGCUUUACUUUCAUUUGCAUGUAAUGUUGUUAAUUCUGGACAUAAGAUGUGGCAUAGACGUCUUUGCCACCCAAACUGUGAUGUACUUCAUACUUUGUUUAAUUUUGGAUUAUUGGGAAAUAAAACAUGUUCUUCUCUUGAUCAUUCUUUCGAUUGUACGUCAUGCAAACUUGGAAAAAGUAAAGUUCUACCUUUUCUUCAUUCCAUAUCUAGUGCCUCACAAUGUUUUGAUAUUAUACAUAGUAAUGUUUGGGGGAUUGCACCUAUUGUUUCUCAUGCACAUUACAACUACUUUGUUACUUUCAUUAAUGACUUUAGUCGCUUUACUUGGGUUUAAUUCCUCCGAGCUAAGGCUGAAGUUUUUUCAAUCUUUAAGUGCUUUCUUGCACUUAUUGAGACUCAAUUCUCUGCUAGCAUCAAGGUCUUGCGCUCUGAUUCUGGCAGAGAAUACAUGUCUAACGAGUUUCAGGACUUUUUUCAAAGCAAAGGGAUCAUCUCUCAACGUUCUUGUCCUUCGACACCACAACAAAAUGGUGUUGUUGAGAAGAAAAAUCGCCAUCUUCUUGAUGUGGUAAGAACUUUUUUACUUGACUCAUUGGUUUCUCCUCGUUUUUGGUGUGAAGCACUUUCUACUGCAAUUCAUUUGAUCAAUCGCUUACUCUCUCCUAUGUUAAAUCAUGUAUUUCCUUUCUCUAAGUUCUUUGGUCAUUCUCCUUUAUAUUCUGAUCUUCAUACAUUUGGUUGUGUUUGUUUUGUGCAUCUACCUACUCAUGAACAACAUAAACUUACUGCUCAGUUUGUUAAGUGUGCUUUUCUUGGUUAUGCUAUUCCUCACAAAGGUUAUGUUUGUUAUGAUCCCCAUGCUCGUCAUAUACAAGUUUCUCAGAAUGUGAUUUUCUUUAACAAUCAAUAUUUCUCUCCAUUUCAUGUUGAGCUACCAUCUACAUCUGUAUCUCUUCUGCCUAGUUUUUCUGAAUCCCCAACAAUUGUGGAAAUGUUUAAACCUGGUUUUUUGUAUGAAAGAUAUAGUCAACAUGAGUCCGAUUCCACUUUCUCUGUGUCCUCUUCCGAUCUUGACCUGACGCCUGAUCCUGCUCCUGCUUCCACCACUCUUCGUUGGUCUACUCAUCUUUCUCGACCCCUUGAUUGGUAUGGAUUCUUCUCUCCUCUCUCUCUUAUUGCUACUUAAUCCACUAUUUGUAUUCCCUUUUGCUACAAACAUGCCAUGGAACAUGAGUGUUGGCAAAAUGCAAUGCAAGUAGAACUUCAAGCACUUGAGAAGAAUCAUACUUGGGAUAUUGUUCCUUGUCCUUCUACAAUCAAACCUAUUGGGAGUAAAUGGGUUUUCUCUAUAAAACUUUGUUCUGAUGGCUCUUUGGACCGGUACAAAGCUCACCUCGUAGCUCUGGGUAACAAGCAGGAAUAUGGGGUUGAUUAUGAGGGGACAUUUGCUCCUGUUGCUAAAAUGACCGUGGUUCGGACCAUCUUAGCUAUUGACGCUUCAUAGUCAUGGCAACUACAUUAGAUGGAUGUAAAGAAUGCUUUCCUUCAUGGUGAUCUCCAGGAAGAGAUUUACAUGAAGCUUCCCUCUCGUAUGAUUAAUUCUUCUCCUCAUGAUGUCUGUAAGCUAAAACAUUCUUUGUAUGGGCUCAAGCAAGCGCCCCGGGCUUGGUUUGAGAAGUUUCGCAGUACAAUUCUUUCUUUUAGUUUUACCCAAAGUCAGUAUGAUUCUUCCCUCUUCUUCCACACGUCUGUGUUGGGUAUAGUCCUUCUCUUGGCUUAUGUGGAUGAUAUUAUCAUUACUGGCACUAACUGUGGUUUGAUUACUAAGCUUCAGCGGAUGUUACAUACAACUUUCCAUAUGAAAGAACUUGGACAUCUCACAUACUUCUUAGGAUUAGAAGUUCAUCAUCGGGCUAGUGGUAUUUUCGUGAACCAACAUAAGUAUAUUCAAGAUCUUAUCACUUUGGCUAGUUUGGAGGACACUUAUUCUGUUGAUAAUCCUAUGGAGGUAAAUGUCAAAUACAGGAAAGAUGAAGGGGACCUUCUGGAUGAUCCUACUCUCUAUUGGCGCCUAGUUGGGAGUCUUAUCUACAUGACCACUACUCGACAUGAUAUCUCCUAUGCUGUUCAUCAGGCCAGUCAGUUUAUGACUUCUCCUCGACAUCUCCAUCUUGCUGUAGUUUGACACAUCAUCCGCUAUCUUCGAGGUUCACCUACUCGUGGGUUAUUCUUUCCUACCGGCUCCUCUCUUCAACUUGUUGCCUAUGGUGAUGUUGAUUGGGCUAGGUGUCUGGAUACACGUCGAUCUACUAUGGGUUGGUGUAUGUUUUUAGGUGAUGCCUUAAUUUCUUGAAGAUGUAAGAAACAAGAUUGUGUUUCUAAAUCCUCUAUUGAGGUUGAGUAUCCUGCCAUGUCUACUGCUUGUUAUGAAAUUAUAUGGCUACGCGGUCUUCUUGAGGAGCUUGGGUUUCCUCAGACUACUUCUACACCUCUUCAUGUUGAUAACACUAGUGCUAUUUAGAUUGCCACCAAUCCUAUUUUUCAUGAACGUACCAAGCACAUUGAGGUUGAUUGUCAUUUUAUUUGAGACACCUUGGAAAGUCGGGUGAUAUCUCUUCCUCAUAUCUCUUCUGAUCUCCAAGUGGCUGAUAUCGUCACCAAAGCUUUGACUUGACAGCGACAUCAAUUUCUUAUUGGCAAAUUGUUGCUGGUUGACUUACCAGCAUUAAUUUGAGGGGGGAUGUUAAUGUUACCAUUUACAAUUUAGGAAUCAUAUCGACUGUACAUAUAGGAAUGUUAAUGUUGCCAUAUACAAUUUAGAAAUCAUAUUGGCUGUACAUAUAGGAAAAGAUUGACGGAUUGGCUUACCAUGUAUUUGUUAAUGUUACCAUAUACAAUUUAGGAAUCAGUUAGACUUCGUGUAUAUGAUAUAUAUUAGUAUAUAGAUGGAUGCAGUGAAAUAUAAAAAAACUUAUCAGAGUUAUCCAUUUCUGUGGAGUUUUUUUUUUAGUAUUUUGACAUCUAUAUGAAUCAAUCUUUAAAAGAGAAGCAAGAACAAUCAAGUAUCAAAUACUAACUUCUCUGUGGAAAUAUUUUAGGGCCAUGCUCAAGAUAAAAGGGCUUGAUGUCUUGGGCUGCAAAUAGAGGACGUCUCAGAUCAUUCGGAGCAAACCGUUUAAGAAUUAAACCAGUCACGAACCGCCUAAACCGGCAGUCGGACCGGUGACCUAGUGGAAUGGGACGGUUCUAAUCAAACCGAACAGUUCUAGUUGGACCACCAUUUUAAAGGCUCCUUUGUAUAAAAAGAUUUGGCAAAAGCCCAUGCUAGGCCUUGUCUCAUAAUGACAAAGCCCAUACCCCACUCAACCAUAUUGUGGGCUAAGGCUUGAGCCCACCAGAUGAGGCAAUGCAUUAGCCUUCAAUAUGGAUAGCUUCUAUAGCCAUCCUAGGAGGUACAUAGUUUUUGUUAUCUAAUAUGCCAAACAAAAUAAUAUAUAUUAGAUUUAAAAAAAAUUUGUAAUAUUAAAUAAAAAUAAUAUAAUAUUUUAAAAAAUUAUAAAAUUAGUUUAAAUUUUCAUUUUUAAUAUAUUCACAUUAAAAUAUUUUGCAUAUUUCAUUUAAUAAAAUUAAAAAUAUCAAUAUGAUUUAAUUUGAUAAUAUUAUUGAUUUUUAAUUUAUUCAUAUAUAAUUUAAAAUUUUUAUAAUUAUUUUUAAUUUUAAUAAUAUAUAAAUUAUAUAUUUAUUACGUCACUGGUUCGACCGCCGGUCUGACCAAUGAACCGUGAACUGGUAACUUUUCCGGUUCGAUCACCGAUCCGGUUCUAAAAACAUUGGUGACCACACUUUCCUAUAUUUUUUGAAGACUUUAUGAUUGACGAGUAGGUAAUGUGAUAUGCUGAUGAAGUCCGCUUCUAGCACAGAUCCCCAUUAAUAGGAUAUUGUUGAAUUGGAGAAUGUUUCCACACGCUCAAAAUGGGGCGUUGUUUUAGCAUCAAGAAAUUGUCGUCUUCAUUAGCUUGUUGGAAUUGGGAUGUAUGACUGAUGACUUGUUAGGAUUUAUCUGAAAAUAAAGUCCAAGCUCUGUCUCUGUCUCUCUCUCUCUCUCUCUUAUAAGGACAGUGAUGAUGGUCCAAAGAAGAAUUCCGAAGCAUGCAGAGAUUCACAACUGCAAGUAAUUUACACACAGAGUGAAGGCGGCUGGCCAGAUUUAACAUGAGAAAAUCAUGAUUAAUACAUGAUUCUUCACCAAUAAUUGAGUUGAAUGAGUCUACUAUUCAAAUCACAUUGUUAAAAAGAAAAACAGAUAAUAAAGAUUCAAAUCACAUUAUUAAUGAGUGGGCCGGUCUCAUUUAAGAACACGAUUUGACAUGCAAAAUUAAUGGAUCCAUCCAUAUACAACAUCUACCACAACUCAUGAGAAGAGAUUCUGGUUGUUCUAAUAAUUCACCAUUUUUCUUCAUGGAAUUAGUUAUGAAAUAGUCCCAAUUUAGUACUAAUAGAGAGAGUAUCAAGGAAAAUAUUUGGUAGGUGGGCGGUGAAUCAAGUUAAUUAGAUGGUGAAGAAAAACUAAUGAGAGAUGAACUUAAUCAACAAGUUGUACCUCUUUUUUCUGUAUAAUAUGCUAGUUAAUCCAACUGUGUUAGACAUUGCUGCUACUUACAAGUUAUUUUACUUUAUUAUUCAUUUUUUAAUGUUGGGGGAGGUACUGUCGUUUCAUUGAAAACGAUGUUGUAUUACUUGGCAAACAAAGAUGGUGGUAAGUUUAGAAUAAUGCAAUAUAUGAUUUGCAUGCUUUAUUCCUUGGUAAUACUAUGAUUUUUACUAUAAUCCAACUGUGUUAGACAUUGCUGCUACUUAUAAUUGCGGAACAAAAGGUAAUAACUCUUGCUUGAAAUCAAAUUAAUUCCUGAUAUUCCUUUAUUUUUUAUAUGUACACAAAAUGGCCUUCAUCAUAAGUGCUCUGCAAACGAACUGUGUGCUCCUUGAAUGUGGAGAUAUGGCUGCUCCCACGAAGUUUCCAUACCACAUUUUGAAGUAUAGCUAGUUCUCGUUCUGAUAUUAAUCCACACUAAUGCUGGCAGCUUCCAAAACUGCAUAAUUCCAUGUUUUCCAUCUUUUUUUUUUCCCCUGUAUAUACACAUUAUAACGUCCAUGUUACAUGGUUAAUAACCAAAGGAAGAUAAAUUAAUGAACAUGCAAAUGAAUGCUCAUGCUUACAAGAUGAUUGUUUUGAUCUUCUAUGAUAGUGAAACGACGUUGAUCUCUUCUAUAUAUAUAUAAUUAGUACAACUAACAGUCUGCAUCCUUCUAUUCUUGUAUUUGUGUACUGGGGACAAAUCGUUCUUUGUAUUUGUGUACAAGGGACAAAUCAAAUCAUGAGGAUCACAUGACAACACGGCACCAUGCUCAUCACAAAUGUUGUUCAUUUGCUAGCUCAUGAAACAUAUGGUGUGGGCAACCAGGACAAAUCAACUAAUCAUAACAUGCACGACAUUAUGUUCAUGAAACAUAUGCUAAAUAUGGUGUAAUAAACUUAAAAAAAAAAUUAGAGAAAGAGCGUACGUAAGGGAAACAAAAAAAAAAAAAAAAAAAAAAAAAACUAAUUAAAAACAUGAUGAAGAUGACAAGAUGGUGAAAGAGAUUUUUCACCAAACAUUUGAUUAUUAACUAUAGAAACGUUUGACUAUGUAACACUGCUACCUUUUUUUAAUAUUGGGGUAGGUACUGUCGUUUCAUUGAAAAUGAUGUUGUAUUACUUGGCAAACAAAGAUGGUGGUAAGUUUUGAAUAAUGCAAUAAAUGAUUUGCAUGCUUUAUUCCUUGGUAAUAUUAUGAUUUUUUACAAAAAUAUUCUUUAAUUGACUUGGGCAGUGUCGGGUCCAGAAAGGCUGCAUCAGUGCCUAGUGAUUCUCAAUCAGAUGUAUAUCUGGACCAUUAGGGAACCAAGAUAAUAUUUUUGAUUGUGUCGCUAUUGUCCUUUAAAACUAUUUAUCCUUGCAUCUAAAUUAAUAAUUUGUUUUCUCAUGCUUGUAGUUUUUGAAAUAAAGUUAAUUCAGGUAGACCAGUUUUUAAUCAGACCUCCAUGCAACAUAUCUUCCCAUCCUACCCAAGAGAAGCUACUGAAAGCUCCCAUGACUGAAGAGAGACAACAAGGAUUCUAUCCUUUUGGAUCGACCUAGCACUAUCUUUUAGAUUCUAUCCAUCUAUUUGUUCUCAUCUUAUUUCUGGGAUAUAUAUAUAUAUAUAUGUUUCAACCCAUCUCAGUGUCUCUUGUAGAUUUAUAAAGGAUAAGUAUUAUUUCUAGUCCAUUCUAAUUAAUUGCCAUUCCCAUAAUUUAAGUUGAUACAAAAUUAGAACUUAUUCAAGAAAAUAAUGGAAAUAAUUCAAUCUAGCUUGUCAUUAAAAUGUUGUGAGAAAUAGAGGUCGCAUUAAAUCACAAUGAGUUUGAAUUGCAUAGACGCACGCACAAAAUCAGAACCAUAGAAGAAAUUCAGUGGAAUCUAUGGACUUACAAUACCUUAAUACUAGAAACGCUUAAAUUGGUUAUUAAAAAUAUCCCAUUUGGGAUUUAUUUUUACAAUAAGAAUAGUGAAUUAAAAGGCAGACAUUCAGAAACGGGACUCCAACUUAACUAGAAAUUCAUUACAACAGUAGGAAUCAUUCAUAUCAGACAACGACCAAUCCUUUAGAAGCGGCAGCAUGUCCAUGUGGUGACCUAGUAUCUCUACGUUGCUUCUCUUGGGAGAGUAGUCUUGCAAAACUGAAAAAUUAGAAGGAUUUUUUAUUAUCAUAUGAUUAGUUAAUUAACUAAGAAAGCUCUAGAAUAAAACUCUAAAAAUAGUUAGAUACCUUGUGAGAGCCUCCUCGUUGGUCUCGUGAUUUGAAGGCUCAAAGAUACCUGUAUCCAGGUUAACCCUUGAGACCCUUUUCUUUAACAACUCCUCACCAAUUUUCACAAGAUCAUCCAAAUUUUCCUUUGUGGCUAUGUCGACUGAUGAUGUUAUACCGCUCAAUGUAUCAUCCUGUAUUUACCCUUUGUGUCAGUAUCAGUGGUAGACAAGGAACAGAAGAAGCAAUUGACUUUCAGAUAUUUUUAGGACUGAGGAAAUUAUGAAGAAGAACAAAAUUUAAAUAAGAAAUUUGACUUUGUAAGUGACGGUAAAUUUAUGAAACCACAAGCAGCAAAGCUGUACCUGUAUCCGAAGAUAGCUUUUUUCCGAGUGAAAGGCUUGAAAAAGCUCUGAAAGGUGUAAGUCGAUCAUAUCUCCGCUUGCUUGGGUAAACACUUUCACUAAGGGGGUGGAACCACCACUGGUCAACCACCCCAACACACCCCACNNNNNNNNNNNNNNNNNNNNNNNNNNNNNNNNNNNNNNNNNNNNNNNNNNNNNNNNNNNNNNNNNNNNNNNNNNNNNNNNNNNNNNNNNNNNNNNNNNNNACUACCUUUGUAACAUGAGGAAUUGGAUCAUGACUGCAUUUAAAAGAAAGAUCAUGUUAAUAACUACAAAAAAUAUUGAAGUCUAGUUAAUUUUAUAUACAUAAAUACUAGCAUCCUGUCAUCUUAAUCAAGAUGUUCAUCAUGAUAUAUUUGUUACCUGUGCUGUGGGAAGAUCUUAGGGCAGUGAUCAAGGUAGAAGUCCUUGAUAUCUUUGGCAGAAAACAAGGGUCGGCCAGUGUUUUCAUUGGGAGUAGUUAGCAUGGCAGUCACGAGGCCACCGGUGCUUGUUCCUGCAAUCACAUCAAAAUAAUCUGAAAUUCUCGCGUCUUCACCAUCCAGCUUCUGCACCAUGGCCAAACAAUCUAGUGUUAGUACGUAUAAAAUAUAUCCAAUAUAGGAUAUAAGUUUCAGAUUAGGAAUAUGCUAAUUUUAAAAGGCAAAUGGAAAAGCCAUAUUUUGUUAUUAUCAUGUAAAACCUUAUAUUUCCUACCUGAAGCUCAGACUCCAGGAAGCCAAGGACUGUUCCUGGGAUAAGCCCUCUUAUUCCACCUCCAUCGAUGCUGAGAAUGGUGAUUAGGUUUCCAUAAGUUGGAGGCUGUAGGGGUGAUUUUGGUCCUUCUCCCAUUAGGGAUGGAGUGAUGGAGGUAUGAACUUGAGUGAUGGAGGUAUGAACUUGAGUGAUAGAGGAGAGAAAAUGAGAGACUUAGAAUAGAAUUGAAGUUUCUGCAGGAGACUUAGAAAUGUAGAGAGAUUUGGAGUUCUCUUUGAUAACUAGGCAGGAGUAUUUAUAGACUCCUUAGCAUAUAUCCCUCAUUUUUCUUGCCCAUACUUUUCUAAAUGGACCCGGGAUUCAUCAUUCGGGAUAAGUAGAAAAGUCCACAAGCAAACAGUAUCUUCUUGCUUCAUAGAAGCUAGCCAAAUGGUCAUAGACAUGACUCCUGGCAACUGUAGGUAAGACCAAAGAGAAUAGCUGGUAAGAAGGAUUAGGUGACUCAAUAAAGGUUGAGAUAGGAUGAAUUUUCCUAACUAAUGGAGUUUGUUAACAGGUCAUGGAAACACUAAGUCUUAUGAAAUGACUCUGGUUUCUAGCUAUGUCUGGUGCAAAGAAUCGUGAUGGAGACAAGCCUAAAUGCGCAUACCAAACAAAAAUUUAUUAUUCAAUGCGCACAAUUUUGUGUUCGUAAAUGGAUGCGCUUGACUGGGGAUGGCGAAGAUUUUGAAAGAACACCAACUAGGGCAACGAAAAGUACUGGCCAACGCGGCACUUGCACUGUGAAUGACAAGGGACGGAUAAUUCAAUGUCAAGCAGCAAGGUUUUACAUAAUUUCCUGUUAGACAUGAUUUUUUUGACCUAUUAACCUCAUGCUUUUCAUACUUAAUAUCUGUAUUUGUACACACCAUCAUUGGCUUCUAUAGUUUGUAGAAAACUACAAACUAUUUUUUGUAAUUACAGUUCUAAGUCCUGUGAAUUUUAGAUGAUGUGCAGUGCGAAGACUUGGUUGACUGUUAGUUACUGAGGUUUUCCCACAUCUCCCAAAUGUUAAAAUGAUGAAAUUAUUGCCUAAGAAGCACCUGUUGCAGAAUCAUAUUUGAAGGUAAGAUAGCAAAUUAUAGCUAACUAAAAAUAGGUUGUAUUAUAUUAAACUACAAAAAGUUUUCAGUACUUUUAUCUUUAUCAAUCUGUGUUAGGCACUUAUUUAGCAAGGUUGGAAGUAUGAAGGGUGGCAGCAUCCUUAAUGGACUUCACUUUAUGUCGACCUAACGUGGUCAAUUUGUAUUUAAAGAUUAACUUCACAUCCAUGAACGAAAAAAUCAUGUUUGUUUAUCAUGGUUAGGCAAAGAUGCAACGCAUCUGUGAAGUGAAAAAAAGAAAGGACUGGUCAACCAAGAAAAUCUGUUGGUUGCCCUAGUGAAUUUGUGAACAAUUCACUGGAAGGUUCAAAUUUCUGACACAGCAUGGCCUAUUCACUUUCAUCUUGAGCUUAAUCUAGAACAAAAAUAAUACUACUACAGCCUAAUUAGAACAGCUCUAAAGAGUUGGGAAUUGAUGCUGUAAAUACUUUGUUCCUUAUGGUCUUUGCAUGUUAAUCUUAGCUGCUGGGCUUAGCUGGGCAUUAAUAUUCAGAAAUUCUGAGAAGUCCAUUGCCUGUAUUUCAAAUCCCAAAUUUGAUCCAAGCCAUAUAUAACUUAAUUGAAAACAGUAUAGAUUUGAUCUUUUCAAUCAGUGCCCUUGACCAUUCCACCGUUCCAAAGCCAUCCCUUUGUUUCUAUUUCAUGGAAGCUAACUAUCUAUGCUGUAAUGCCAUCAAUCCAUUCCUGACUCUUUGUGAUGCUUAAUUUAUAACCUCCGAAGUCCAUUUGCUUACAUUCAUGGAAAUAAAUAAUGGAAGACCAUCGCACAAAAUUCUCUCCACGAGCCAUUCCUUCAGUGUUUCUUGGUUACCCACCUGGUUAUAAAGGUUACAAGUUGUUGAAUCUCUCCACCAAUGCCAUAUGCAUUAGCCGUGAUGUAGUUUUCCAUGAAUUUCUAUUUCCUUUUCGGUCCAUUGAUUCAAACUUUUCCUCUUGUGAUUUUUUUUUAAUCGAGUUCUUCCUUCUUCCAUUCACAAUCUUUUUUUUUUUUGUUUCUAAUGAUCCAAAACUUAUCUCACCCCAUACAGUCUUUACCAAACUUGCUGUCCCUUCCACUUCUCGUCCUGUUUGCCUCCCUAAACCACCAUUAUAUCUCCAAGGUUAUCAUUGUUAUUCCACAGUUUAAUCUACAUCUUCUGUAACAUAUCCUCUUUCUAGUGUUCUUGGCUAUGGUAAGCUCUCCUCUUCUCAUCAUGCUCUUGUUCAUGCCAUUUCUUCCCACAUUGAACCAACUUCCUUCUCUCAAGUUGUUGUGAUUCUAGAGUGGUACCAAGCUAUGCAGGCUAAACUUCAAGCUCUUAAACAAAAUGGUACAUGGUCUUUGACAUCUCUUCCUCCCGUCAAACAUCCCAUGGGAUGUAAAUAGGUCUACAAGCUCAAAUUUUGAGCUGAUGGUUCUCUUGAGCGUCACAAAGCUUGUCUUGUUGCAAAGGGAUAUACUCAACAAGAGGGUGUAGAUUAUCUUGACACCUUCUCUCCCAUAGCAAAAUUAGUCAUUGUCAAGUUUUUUUUUUUUUGGCUCUUGUUGUGAUUCAUGGCUGGUUUCUCACUCAACUUGAUGUUGACAAUGCAUUCCUUCAUGGUGAUAUGACCUAAGGAGUUUACAUGUCCCUUCCUCUAAGGUAUCACCGUGAGGGGGAGUCCUUACCUUCCAAUGUUGUUUGCAAGCUUUACAAGUCAAUUUAUGGGUUGAAACAAGCUUCUGGAUAGUGGUUUGUAAAAUUUUAUGGUAUUCUGUUAGCUAAAGGUUUCACACAAUCAACUGUGGAUCAUUCCUUGUACGUUUACCAAAUAUGAUGGUGACUCCCUUAUUGCCUUAUUGGCAUAUGUUGAUGACGUUGUCAUUGUGAUCAACAAUUCCAACCAUAUUGAAGAUCUCAAAAGGUUUCUUGACAACCAAUUUAAGCUCAAAGACCUUGGAUAACUUAAAUAUUUCCUUGGUCUCAGAAGUUCCUAGGACAAGUAAGGGGAUUUCAGUUAGCCAAAUACAUCACGCUCUUCAAUUGCUAUCUGAUAUAGGUUUUUUGGGAUGUAAACCUACAUGUACAUGAAUCGAAGCUAAUAUCCAACUUUCUCAAGAUGAUGGGGAGAUUCUUGAAGAUGCUGGAUUGUAUAGGUGAUUGAUUAGCAAGCUCCUAUAUCUCACAAUCGUGCAACCUGAUCUAUCUUACUCAGUUAAUCGACUUAGUCAGUAUCUUGCCAACCCAAGAUCUACUCACUUGCAAGCUGUUCAUCGAAUUUUACAAUAUAUUAAAGGUACAAUUGGCCAAGGUAUGUACUUUCCUUUUUCUUCAACAACCCAACUCAAAGCCUUUACUGACUCAGAUUGGGGUGCUGUGCUUGUAAAGAUAUAAGAAGAUCCAUCAAUGGGUUUUGCAUUUUUCUUGGAGAAUCAUUGAUUUCAUGGAAGUUUAGGAAACAAAGUACAGUUUCACGCUCAUUAGCUGAGGCAGAAUAUCAAGCAAUGGAAAAUACCACUUGUGAACUAAUCUGAUUGAUGUCUUUCCUUCCUGAUUUUUGCAUUGAACACAAACAACCAACUAUAUUAUUCUGUGACAAUGAGGCAGCACUUCACAUUGCUGCCAAUCUUGUGUUUCACGAACAGACCAAACAUAUAGAAAUUGAUUGCCAUCUUGUUUGUGAGAUGAUACAAACAGGUUGUCUCAAAACAAUGCAUGUAUCUUCUCAACAUCAAAUUGCAGAUCUCCUUACCAAGGCUCUCUUACCAACACAGUUUAAAUUUCUUUUCAACAAGAUGGGAAUUCACAAUAUUCAUUCUCCAAGGGGGAGUACUCGAAUAACAGGGUAUUUUUGUAUUGGUAAUAAAUCCGUUGAAUUUUCUGUUUUGUAAUCUAGUGAGUCAGUUAUGGGUGUAGUUCUCUAGGCUCUAUAUAUAGACAUGCUUUUGGGUAUUUUGAACUGAUCUUCAGAAAACAUGAAUGAAUAACAGAUUUUCGUUGUAAACCCUUUCCCUUUUUCUUCAGAAACAACUAACAAUAUUGAAACCCUUAAUUAACUAGCAUUUUUAUUUACUCUGGAUGAAGAUGGGGCUGAAGGAAGAGUGCUUGAAGUUAAUUUCCUUUGUAACCCAUCCAUUUUGCUUCAGCUAAGAUGAAGGAAGAAGAGAAAUCAGCCAAUUGGAGUUAAGGUAGAUUCAAUUGGAGUUAGGGUUCUCUUACUUUAGCUUAUUGGAUCCCUAGACCCAGCUAAUUAACCAGGAGCACCACCCACCAGCAGUUUAUGUCCAUUGAUAAAUACAAUCCUAGUUAGUUCUACACUGCCACGACCUUAACCCCUGCCUUGAACACCAGACCUUGCUGUCCGGGAACGCUGGCCAGUAAUGGUUAAUAGAGUCCUAGGGAAACCACAGAAAAAUAAGACAUUCAUAGAUUUUUACAUACGUUCAUAGACUCUUGUAUUAACAUUUUUGACUCGUGUAACAUUUGAGGAAAAAAGUGUAAAAAGAAAAUGAAGAAGGAAAUUAAUAGAAGAAAAGAAAAUAUGAAGAAAAAUAAAUAAAAUUUUAAAAUUAAUUAAUUAUUUUUAUAUAUUUCUUUAAAAUUUUAACUAAUUUUAAAAAUAUUUUAAUUUUUUAGUAUUUUUUUAUUAUAAUUUCAAAUUAAAAAAUUAUAUUAAACUUUUUAUUUUUUAUUUUUUAUUAUAAUUUCGAAUAAAAAAUUUCAGCACCUUAGUUUCUUCGGAGAUUUCUCUCUUCAAAUUCCUCUAUUCCCUUCAAAUUAUGUUCUCUCCAGUUCCCAUGGUUGGAACAGCAGCCAGUACUUGGGUAUGCUAUGUCAUUUUGAUGGUGGUGGCGUUUUGGUGAGUUGUUUGUCACAAGCGCUCUGAGGCUGGUGGAUGUAGGUUGGUGGUGUAGUGGGGUUGGUGUGGCACUAUUGUGUUGUAGGUGGGGAUUGAAAUGCUUAAAUUCUGAUUCAAGCUCUCUCUCAUGUCUUUAUUCUUGGACUUUCAGCGCCUAUUUCUUCCGCCACAAUGUGUUUAUAUCAUUUGUUAAUCUGAGACUACUAUUAUGUGAUUCAUGAAAUUUUUGGAAUGAGGUAGUGCACAAUGUGUUUAUAUCUAUGAAGUGUGGAUUUUACCAUUAGCUAGAUACAAGCAACAGGGAAGUGCAAGAUAAUAUGUGUUCGUGUGUGCACCAGAAAAGAAUUUUAACCAGGGUGAAAUUCAAACUGUGGUUGUGGGCUAUAUCUACCGUGCUUCAAUUUUUUGAUAGGGAUAUUUGAUCAACAACUUUUGAAAAGUUUAUGAAUUCAACAAAAUAUCUCUUCAAUAUUAACAUUGCCUUGAAAAUGAUGAAGAAAUACAUCACAUUGACAAUCUUGUCAGGCUGUGCAGGAGAUAUAGUCCUUCUGAAACUUUCACAAUAUUACCCACCAUCAAACCUAAGAUAAUAUUUCACCCAACUUGCCUCUUCUGUUUUUGAUGAAGUAUCACAAUCCGUGAUGGUGUGGGCUCUUGCAUUAAAUUGUGUUUAAGCAUCAUGUCUAAUUUGUUUCAUUUGUUUUGCGAGUGUCAAACAUAUACAACUUUUUUCAUUUUUCGGAUUAAACAAGUUGGUUUCUAGGGAGGAUACUAGGUUUUGUGAUAGUAUGAAGCUAUUUGAUGUUUUCAGUGUGUAAAGAAGAAGUUAGAGGACUCCCUGUACUCUUUUGAUGAAGUAUGUAUGGGCAUUGAAGUCUUGAACGUUAAGCAAAUAAAGAAGUUGUAUAUUGAUAUAAUAAUAUGAGGCAUUUACAUAUGUAACCUUAUGGAGAUCUUUCUGGUCCGCUUAAUUUCAAUGAUGUGUAUUUGCUUUGAAUUUGGGUUCUUGGAUAUGGUCUCAGUUGGAUAUGGCCAUCUUUGGAGGAAUACAAUGUAUGAUCUCAAAUUUAACAGUAUCCAUUUUCUUUGGCAAGAAGAUGAUCUCAUAGAGAUAGUGUGGGAACUUUAGGUAAGAGGACUCUCAAAGAAUUGUAGGUAAGAAUAGUUAGGUGAAGUGAUCAAGCUGAACAUGAGAUGGAUUAUCCUAACCAGUCAAAAACACUAUGCGACAAAGGCCAUACUUUGUUCAUAAAUAACUGUGGUUCAAGUGUCUAGCGACAUGAGAAGGGGGACAUACCUGGUUGUUGCGAUCAAGAAUUGGUAAUUGGCAUUCUGAACAUACUUUAUUAUCAUUAAUUUUUUGUGAGAGGUGGUGCCUUAUCUGGUUGCGGAGGAGUCAAUUGGUGCGGCGAUUAGUAGGUAAUGGAAUUUCCACAUGCCAACAGCCAAUAAUACUAAUGACCAUGAAAGCGUCAAUCAGGGUGGCGCUGAUUGCAGGGCAACCUUGUGCAUCAAGAAUGAUUAGUACUAGAGAAUUCAACAAAUUAAGGUAUACCAUUCUGUUAUUCUUCCAUAAGACUUUCAACGCUGAAUGGGAGAAUAGGUUGGUUUUGACAACUUAGACUGUAGAAGUCUAAGCUUCCAUCUCGUUUUAGCCUAACUUUUUCCUUGUCCAAUAGUUUAUAUUUUCUUUCUUAUUUUCAGUAAAUUUUUUAUGCUAAAAACAUUGGCUUGUUCACACAUUAAUUCUAAUUAAACAGCAUGCAUGACAAUAAAAUACCACUACAUGUUUUUCAGUUGCAUCUCUUUCAGCAUGUUUCAUAAUUUCGAAAUUUAAAAGAAAAAUCCUAUUCCUUUUUCCCCUUAAUCACUGCACCAUGCAUUCAAAGUAGUAAUUCUGUUUUGAGCAAGAUUUGCAUUUCAUAUGCAUAACAACUUCCAUAUGCAGUUAGUGCUCCUUGUGUGACAAAUGGGGUUGAGAGUUGGGGUAUGCUUAUCCUUUUACUGUCAUGGUGAACUGAGAAUGGUUAGUUGUCCAUAAGCUCAAGGGCUUUGUUGGGAGGAAGAGGAAGAAGAAGUCCUUUUACUGUCAUAGAAAACUGAGAAUGGUUAGGUCCAUGAGCUCUAGGUAUUUUCUGGGAAGAGGAAGGCUAAAAGGAAGAAAAAGAAGAUACAACUGAUGUACGAAGAAGAAUCGUUGAAUGGGCACCUAGCCUUCACCGUAUCUUAUUUGAUAAUUGCAACUGGGACUAUAUAUAACUUGAAUAUUAAGGCAUACUACUCAAAUUUUCCACACUUGACCUAACAAAUAAAAUAAGAUAAUCGUGGAAGAUGCUAGCGUAUAUAUCCUAAACUGAUCUAGGUAUCCUAUCCUAAACUACUUUAAAUGUUAAUUAAGGAAUGCAACAUCACUUAAAUAUUGUUGUCUUUCAAACAAGGCACACAACACAUCAAGUUAUCACACUACAUGGCAUUUAUUUAAUAAUAUACUAAUUAAUUGAACUGGAACUGACAAACUUCAAUUUAAGAUUAUUUCUGAUUAAUUUGCUGCACAUCCAUCUGGGAUUUGAAAUCACGAAGGCGUUUCUCUUGUGACAGUACUUCUGCAAACCUGUGACAUUGAGAGCAAUUCGAUCAGUAUUAAUGAAUGAUAGAAGAACAGGUGGCAUAUGUAGAGGGGCUUGUUUAUUAAUCCGGCAUAUUGUUGUUUAUGAUCACAUGCGUUCUCAUCUGAAAUGAAAUUACUAUAUAGUUUUGAUUCAAUAAUUAGUGGACAGAAUUUUAUACAGUAAACAGAUUUACAAUGAGAACUGAAUCUAAGACUAAUUUGAUACCUCAUGAGAGCCUCUUCAUUUGUUUGUUCACUUGAAGGCUCCAAAUUUGAUACCACAAUCAGUUGGCUUUAUAGAAAAGAAAUGAGGAUUUCCCCCACAAAUCUCGUUAGUCACUUCGCCACUGGAAAUUAAAGCCUGAAAGGGAUCAAUAGGAGGUCACAAUUAUUAUAACAAUUCAUCACUCAUUUGUGUUUCAGUAAGAGAUAUACAAUACCGGAUUAUUGGAAGCUACUCCAUCAAUAAGAUUGAAAUUUUCUAACUCUCCCUGUGACAUAAUCUUUGAGAGAUAAGUUGGAGCAGCUAGCUGAAGUUCCUAUGCAUAUCACCGAGAGUAAGGCAUCUAUGCUUGGGUGCUGUUUGACCUAGAUCACCAUGAAUAUCAAUAGUAAGUAAGUUUCUUUUCUGAUAAUGAGGACCAUGAAAAAAAAUGGUGAAAUAGUACAUUCCAAAGAUUUUUGUAUCCAUAACUAACUAAACCUUAAUGUUGGAGAAGAUGGUGAUGAACUACCAAUUUUCUUAAAAACUUAAGUUUGAAGGAUUUGAGUUCAAUAUGCAUAUCAUGCUCCUUAACACCCUCAUGUGAUCCUUAACACCUUCCCUCACAUGCGGUCCCAUCCCUGCACGCGAAGAGAUAAACAAAAUUUGGAUUCAUAUUUAGAAAAACAAACAGGAGAUAUGCAGAUUAAGACCUCCAACCAAACUAAGCUUUAAUACCAUCUUGAACUACUAACUUUUCAAAAAGCUUAAACUUAUAGUAUUUGGGUUCAGUAUGCAUAUCAAAUGAUGGUUAUUCUUUUGUAAUAGGAUGUAAUUAUUCUUUUGUAAUAGGAUGCAUAUUAGGUCUCAUAACCAUUCUUUUACUCAAAGGGUGUCGUAAGUUGACCCUAAGUUAAAUUAUUCUUAAAUUGUUAACUUAAAAUCUUAUUACUUUUUUUUUUUUUUAAAUGUUAAGGUUGUUUGGUAAAGCUAACUUAAAAUCUAUUUUAAAUUAUCAAAUAUUCGUUUUUGUAAUAUUUAGAUUUUCUUAUAAAAUAAAGAAAGUUAUUAAAAAUAUUUUCAUAAAUAUUUUAACUCAUGAGUGAAAAAGGUUAUAAGAUAUAUAUAUGAAGACUAAUAUGUGGUGAAUGGCCAUAUAAUAAAGAAUGGUUGGGAAUCAAUAGUCAUAUCUAGUUUUUGGCCUCUAAUACUUUCUAUGACAUAAUGAUUAAAAUGGUAGACUGUUUUAUUUUUAUAAAGCUUUCGCUAGCAUAACACUACUUCUAACCUAAAAAAUGUAGAAAAUUUUUCAAAAUUAUUUCAAAAUAUGCUUAAUGUUGUGGAAAAGAAACUAAAAUAUUUCAAAACAUUCUAACCUAAAUGUUUUAUAUAUAUUCUCUGUAAUUUCUCUUAAAAACCCCUCCAUAUUCCUCUUUAAUGUUGUGGAAAAGAAACUAAAAUAAAUACGUUAAUGCAUAUGACAAUGUUUCUACUUAAAGUGUAUUUAAUAUAAAUAUUUUUUCUAUUAGUAUUUUUAGGAAAACCAUUUAUCAUUUAUUAAAUGUUUCUUUAAAAAGUGCUAGCUAUAAGUUAAUUUUUCAUAUUUUAAAAAUAUUUUCUUAAUUUUAUCAAAUUCUAUUUUAAUUUUCAAAAAUAAUUUUUUAAAUUAAAAAUACUUUCCAAAAUCAUGACACCAUCGAAUAAAUAUUUAUCAUAGUUAUCAGUUUAAUCACCACAUAAAAAGUUGAUGUGGUCCAAAAUGAUGUAGGUAGGUAGGUGAGCGGGAUUGAAUAAGCAUUUGGAUUGUAAAUUGUUCACUGUUUUUUAAAGUUGUGUAGUGAUAAUUUUUAAAGAAAAGUCGCUCCAAGAACCCUACUUUGACAUGCAGUAGAAUAUAGAGAUGAAAUAUGUGCAAAUGAUCAUCCACAUAUUAUUAAAUAAUUUAUACCUGAAGUUGAGAUUCCAGGCAAGCAAGGAUAGUUGCAGGAAUGAUGCCCCUGAUACCACCUCCAUCAAUACUAAGAAUGGUGACUAGGUUACCAUAAGUUGGGGGCUGGACUUGAGGUAAGAGUGAUUUCUCCAUCUGAAAAAUGAUAAUUAUAGGAUUGUAUGCACUAACUUACAACAAUAAACUAAGAAAUUUCCAUCUUCAUUUGCUUGUUGGAAUUGUGAUGUAUGACUGAUGACUUGUUAGGAUUUAUCUGAAAAUAAAGUCUAAGCUUGCUGCUUCUUCUAGGGUAGCAUACCAUAUAAAGCUCUCUCUCUCUCUCUCUCAUAAGGACAGUGAUGAUUCUUUGUGAUGUAAUUAACAAUGCAUUCCUGAUUCUUUGUGAUGCUUUAUAACCUGGGAAGUCCAUUUGCUUACCAUUUAUCACAUAUAUCGACGUGAUCUGAUCAAGGCAAUAAAUAAUGGCAAUCCUUUAUAGCCCAGCUACUUUUGUUCAAGGGUUUUCUUUUACCAUGCGUACCUUUAAUAUCUCAAAUUAUGUGCAUCAAUUAACAUAUAUGAGAUAGGGGUUCAUGUCUUCCAAGUAUGCACAACUUUCUACCAAAAAGUCUCGCGUGUGGAGGUAUGAUUUAAGGGCUUGGAUGAAAUGAGAAAAAUGAUGGCAAAAUUCUGAAGUUGUUAAAACACUGACUUAACUCGCAUUUUCAUUUACUUUGGAUGAAGAUGGGGCUGAAGGAAAAGUGCUUGAAGUUUUCUUAGUAAUCCAUCCAUUUUGCUUCACCCAAUUAGAUGAAGGGAGAAGCGCAAAUGUAGAAGGUAGAUUCACUUGGAGUUUCUCUUACUUUACCUUAUCGGAUCCCUAGACCUAGCCAAUUAAUUAACCAGGACCACCACCCACCAGUGGUUUAUGUCCAUUUAUAAAUACAAUCAAUUAUAUGCUGCCACGUGCUUCACUGUAACCCCUGCCCUGUAAACCGGUCCUUGCUGUCUGGAAACGCUGCCCAGCAAUGGUUUAAUAUAGUAUGAGAGAAACCACAGAAAAAUCUAUAGGACAUUCAUAAAUUUUUAAGAAUAUGCCUCGAAGACUUACAAUGGUCAAUAGCUGACUACUCUGCCCAUAUGAUUCUUCGUCUGUGCCACACACGGAUCUUUUUAAUUAUUUCGUGUUAAACAAACCCGACUUUGUAGUUUCUGACUUCUUCAGGUUUUUGCUUGUUCCACAUCCAGCAGGUUUUUAACUUUUAUGGAGUCAACAAUUUCAAGCAAGUGACAUCUUAAACGUUGUUUUCUGAAAAAAAAAAAUUUUAAAAAUCAGAAAUCUAACUCACAUAUAUCCAAUAGAAGAUUGUAGCAAAAUUGAAUUGCAAACCAAACACAAAAGAAGUCCAAAAGAAUAUUUCAUUCUUUCACAGUUCAUUAGCAAUAUUACAGUCUACCCGUGAUUAUUCACUCUCUAAACAAUGGUUAUGAAUCUAAAUUAAGGCCGAUUGCAGCUAACCAAACCCAAGCUAAGAGAAAGUUUAUUACAGCACAAUCAAUUAUAGAAGAAAAUAGCUAAUUUUAAAUUGAUGAUGCCCUACAUGCUGCAUGUCCAUGAGGCGACUUAGCUAUGAAGCUUCUUUUCUUGGGAGAGCAGGUUUGCAAACCUGCAGGAUUGAAAGCUACUUAUUGUGAUUGUGAUAUUGAUUCAGAAAAUAAAAAAUAAAAAAUGUAUUUCUACAAACCUUAUGCGAGCCUCUUCAUUGGUCUCCUGAUUAGUAGGAACAAAGAUACCCGACUCCACAUUAAAUUCAUCCUUGAAACUGGUUUCUUUAGCAGUCGUUCCCCAACUUUUACAAGAUUUUUUACUUUCUUCCAUGGCAAUAUCAACUGAAGAUACUAGUCCUUUUAGGUAUCAUCCAACAGUUUAAUUUUUAUUUGAAGGUGUCAAAACUAGUGUUAUGGUGGACCAGAAAACAAGGAAGAAAAUCAUUUUUCAUCUCCAAGAAUAUAGAGGAUUUUAACAACAAUAGGUUUGAUGUUGUAUCAAUGCUUGUAUAAAGACGUGCAUGAGCAUGUAUGCCUACCUGAAUCCGAAGGUAAUUCUUUCCCGAGAGAAGGGCUUGAAAAACCAUGGAAAUAUGGAAGUCUACCAUAUCUGUGCUUGCUUGAGUAAACACAUUCACUAAUGGGGUGAAACCAAUACUAGUUAACCAUCCCAAUAUAUAUGGAAGUCAACCAUAUCCAUAACUGUUUGUCUUUAAGUUUUUCCUUUACAAGGCUUUGCAAAAACUUUCCAACAUAUUUUGGACUUAGUAAGGCUUUUGAUUAUCUUUAUAACUUUCAUUUAGGAAAAAAAAAAAAAAAGAAGAAAAAAUCAUGUUAACAACUAUAAAAAUAGUAACUUUGUGACAUUCAAUUCAACAUAAUUAUACUGGUUAAUGAAUUCUUUGGUUGUGGACAAAUUUUAGGAGACUGAUUAAGGUAGAGAUUCUCAAUGCCUUUGGCGGCAAACAUGGGGCAAUUGUCUUACUAGGUGCAGUUAGCAUGACAGUCACAAGACCACCUGUGCUUGUCCCAGCAUCAUAUCAAAAUAGUUUACAAUUCUUCAAUCCCCUCCAUCCAACUUCUAAACCUAGUAGAAACCACUUAGAGUUAAUACUUGCAUUAUAAGAACCACUGUUAACAUCAACACAAAUGAAGUGGUAAUAUAGAAAAUUGUUGCAGCUUCAAAAACGCCCUCCAUUUAAAUAUACACAGGUGAAAAAUGGCAUAAAUGCCAUAAUUCUGGUUGAAUUGAUAUGGCAGAGGUAGCUUGUAGAUAUGAAUGUCAUGAUUAGUAUCACUCUUCAUAUAUGGAAUAGAAGAGUGAUGCUCCUGAUGCUUGGGGAGCUUGUUGAUAUUUAGAUCUUACCUGAAGUUCAGACUCUAGAAAGUUAAGGGUAGUUAAUUCCUAGGAUAAUCCUUUUUAUCCCACCUUCAUCAAUGUUGAGGAUGGUAAUUAAUUAGAUUCCCAUAUGUUGGAGGUUGCUAGGGUGAUUUUAAUUUGCUCCUUCCAUGAUGGUAUGAAGUAAAAGAGAUAGAUGUAUAGACUUUCUUUAGAAAAAAUUGUAAGAUCUUGAAAUAAAUUUUAAUAGAAAAAGAAAUUGUAAGACUGAAGUACUCUUUCAUAAAGCAUGAGAUAUUAAAGUUCUACCAAGUUAAGAGAAAGAAUCUAUGAAUAUGGAAGACUUACAUAACAUGGGUAUCUAUGUUUAUAGCAUGAUAUGUAUUUUAAUUUUUCCCCUAAGUUUCAUUAGUGCACCGUCUAUACUUAAUUCUUUGACUUUGUCCCUACAUGUACUUUCCUUGAUGUGGCUUUGGUUGGAGAUGAUGAUUACUAACAUGGUUAUCAUUCAAUGAAAAACAACUGUUAAAUCAUUUUAUCAUAAUGGAAAGAUGGCCCUUGUAGGCACUCAAUAUGGGAAUUGUAGGUAGAGUACUACUCUAAGAGAAUUUUAGGUAAGACUAAUUAGGUAAAUGUAUAUAGCUAAAAAUGGAAUGCAUCAAUCCAACCAAACUAUUACGCUAAGCAACAAAGGCCACAAUUUCUAAAUAAAUAACUUAACGUGAAUUGUAGUAUCUAGCAUGUUUAAAUGAAAACAUUCUUGCUUGCAUGUUGAAUUCAAGAAAUUAGUUUGUAUUCUAAAUGUCGUUUUUUCUUUUUUUGUAAUAGGUGGCGCCUAUGAUUCGUGCCCAAUUGGUGUCUCAGCUGAUUCGUGUCCAGCUGGUGCUCCUUGAUUGAGGGAUUAAUCAACAAAAUUUAUAACCUAUUACACCAUAUACUAGGGUAGCAAAGACAAAGCUACUAUAGCAAAGUGGCUCUAGGAUCGUUCACUGGGAUGGGUUUUCACUUCACAAAUGAUAUUAAUUCAAAGUUGAAUUGGUGCCUUUUCAUUUCAAGGUUAGCUUUAAAAGAAAACAUAAAAUUGAAUUGGAAAAGGUUUGGUUUUAAACUAACCAAAAAUAGUAACUGAUUUUACUUACAAAGAAAAGUGUUUCUUGGAGUUUAGAUCACUAGGCUCAGGUUCCUCAUACAAAAAGGAGAGUUCCGGUCACUUGUUUCUUUUCCUCGCAUUAGAGAAUUAACAUAUAGUUUCUUCUCCAACCGGUGUUAUACAGAUGCUUCCCAUUAAUGGGUUCAAACACUAAAUCCCUCUCACUGAUGCAUCUUGCAAUGGCUCGUGCCUCUCACCUAGCAUUUGCCAUUCAAGGUGAUCUUUAACCUUGGACUUCCCUUCUCAAGCUCGCAAGAGAUAACUAAUGGAUGUCUCCUUGGAGUCCAAAAGCUUACCAAGUGUUGGCUAUUCUAGAAAAUCCUACCUUCAAACCACCUACCAAAGGCUCGCAAGGGGUAAACUAGUGCAUCUCCAUGGACGGAGAUCACUUGCCUUACCAAGUGUUGGCCCAGGUGAUUUAAAGGCGUUUUAAGUUAACUAAAAACAUAGAAAUCACUAACGGGUUACACUUUCUCUUCAUUAAAAACUAAAACAACAAAACUUCCAAAUUAUGCAUGUGGAAACUUACCCGGCUUUCCUCACUCCAAGAGACAAAAAGCUUAGCCUCUCAUCCUCUGUGGAAAAAUCCUCAGAGUUUGGUUGGCUAGAAAAUGAAAAUGAAAGAGAAGACAAGAAUAUAUAUCAAAAACAGAGCAAGUGCUCUGUUUGUUGAUUCUAUAUAUUAGAUUACAUAUAUGAUCCUCCUCCUCCUUUUACAGUGGAUGCAAGGGAAUAUAUAUAGAGGAGUUUUUCCAACCUUCCUAGCUAAGAAAUCUUGUGGUUGGUGGCUUACAAGGAGAAGAAUGGAAAUUUAUACAAAAAUAUCUGAAGAAAAGAUCUAAAAGAGUCGGUGCACAAAUAUCAGGAAGCACUAAGGACAUUUCGCAGGUGAAAAUGGUGUCUGCGAGAUUUCGCAGACACUCAAGAGGGCUGCGAAAUAUUUUCGCAACAACAAGUUAAACUCGCAGGGCUGCGAAAUUGGCUUCCACCUUGAGGUUCUCAGAGUUCCAGCUUGCGGCAUGUAUCGGGUAGCUUCAGGAGGAAUUCCAUAGCACUGUACAAAAAGGCUGCGAAAUUCUCCCAACAAAAGGCUGAUUUCGCAACACUUUGGAGUGAUCUGCUUGCAAUGGCUGUAACUCCUUCGUUUCAACUCCGAAUUGAGCACCGUUUGAAGCAUUGGAUUCUUGACUUCCUGAGCUUUGAAAUGGUAUAUAGAAUGUAGAAAAUGGACUUGGGGAAGUGCUCCAAAAGUGCGCAUGAAGACUGCAGCUGCUUGUCCUCUGUUUUCUUCACUCUGUUUUUCCUUUCUCCUUGCUUCUCUCCUUGCAUACUUUGAACGACUAUGGCAAAGGGAUAUGGGGCUCCAAAGCUUGGUUCUUCAUGAAUUUGAGCUCUUCAUUGCUUUGCCAUGGAUUCCAAAUAACUCUCCUCAAUCUUGGAUUGUUUUGGUAAUCAAAUUACUAACAAAAACACCAAAACUUACACAAUUUGAUUAGAAAUGAUUGCAAGGGUCCUUAACAUGUUAAUUGAGUUAAAAGGCAAUAACUACUACUCAAAAGUGUUUAAAAGGAUUAAUUACAAGCUAUGAAAUUGCACUUUUUGAGUAGUAAUCAGCCUACAUUCUAAACACCAACUUUUUUCACAAUAGGUGGAGCCUACAUUCUAUAUAAACAUCUACUUUUUUUUUUUUUUUUUGCAAUAUGUGGUACCUUAUCAAGGUGCAAAAGAAUCAAUUGGUGAGAAAAAUUUGUAAUUCAAUCAAAUCAAUUCCACGGGCCUCAAAAAAUGAGAAAUAAUAUUGAUGAUAUGACAAUGAUGAAAGCCUCCAUCAAGUUGAUGACGAAAGAGUCAAAGCCUCGAUCAAGGAAGGCAGCUGAGUGUAGCAUGCAUGAACCAACAAUGAACUCUGGUUUAACAUUCAGUUAUGAACAAUAACAGGAACUUUGAUUUACCUUUUUGCUAUGAACAAUUUCAGGAGUUGUCAACUCUGGUUUAAUAUUCUGUUAUGUGGAGAAACCUCCUUAAGAUGUUUUCACUGUUGUUUACACGGAGGGGCACAAGUAAUUAACACUGCAUUUCUUUGGAAAAGGCGAAGCCCAAGGGAUACAAUUGGGAGUGGAUGAGUAAAACGGGGAAACCAAAUUUGCCCAACCCAACCAGAAAAACUACUGUAGCAGUUAUGUAUACAGAAAGAGCAUUUAUAUGUACAGAAAGAAAAGACGCCCAAACCCCUUCAUUUGAUGCCUUGUGCAACAGAUGCGGAUUUGGAUAUCUGCUCCCAAAAUGGAGAAUAUUGGUGAUUGAAGUAAUGUGCUGAAUAUUGUUAUUAGAAUGGGAUGAUAUGUCAUUUUGAAGGUGAUGGGGUUUUGGUUAGUUGUUUGUCACGAGCGCUCUGAGGCUAGUGGAUGUAGGUGGCAUUAAUUGUGGGUUGGUGUGGUUGUGUUGUUGGUGGGGAUUGAAAUGCUUAAAUAUUGAUUCAAUCACUAUGGAGAGAUUUUGAUAUAUUUUUUAUAUGAAAGAAAGUGAAAGCAUUUAUCAGGUUUCCUCUUGAGCUUUAGAGAUCUUUAAUCAAAUUAGAAGCCUUAGAUAUAUUUUUUUUUUAUGAAAGAAAGUGAAAGCAUUUAUCAGGUUUCCUCUUGAGCUUUAGAGAUCAUUAAUCAAAUUAGAAGCCUUAGUAAUGAUAUUCAGGAAAAAUAAAAAGUAUUGUUUCUAAGAAGGUUGUCAAAAAAGUUUGAUAAUGUAGUUGCUGCAAUUAAAGAAUAUUCCAAAGAUUUCUUAAGAACUAGAAUUAAUGGAGCCACUUAAAACCACAUGAGCAAAGAAUCAACAAGUAUUCCAUUUCACCUAUGGACUAAGCUUUUCAAUCAAAAAGCAAUGUUGCUGAUAACAAAGGUUUUAGGCAAAGAAAGUAAAAGGACGGGGGUUUUGGUAAUGGGCCUAUCUAAGGCCCUCCUCUGUGUCUUCAAAGUUGGUCUAGUUUGGGGCCAGGAUUAAAACUUGGCUAGCGUGAAUGGCCCAAGAAGAAAAAUGGCAAAGUAAGAUGUAGAAGAGCUAACCAUGAGGAGUAGUCGGGAUAGUUAGUGCUUGGAGUUGUAACUACUUAAAAUGGCAAAGAGAGAAUCAAUGAGGAGGAAAAUGCCCCCAUAGACUCUGCACCUAUCGAUAGAUGAAGGGUAUAUCAAUGCAACUAGCUAGGCCAUCACCAAGAGAGAGGUAAGAAAGAACAAUAAGAAAUACUCUUUUUUUAUAAAAUAAAUAUAAAAAAAACCAACUAACUUAACUAUUGGAGAAGCUUAUCCCAGGGCUAUAUCGGGUAAGCCAUGCGUUGCAAGUAAAAAACGCACAACAAGUAGAGGAUUAUAGCUUAAGAAAUUUUCAACUCCAACAAGUGGCGUCGUUUGUGGGAAGUUUCUAUGUUGAAGUAUAGCUUUCACUUUGAACUUGACGUAGAACCCUUUUCUUUUUGUCUGGAGUUGGAAGUUAGACAAUGGAAGACACUUAGUUGUGGGAUUCAAUUAGUAUGACAAUCCCCCGGAGGGCCACUACCUCAAAAACUCUUUGCGAGGGUUUUGAAAGAUUCUAGGUGGAGCAGGAAAGGAGAAUGGAAUCCAUCCUUGCUCAAACUGAGUUGCUAAGGCAAGAAAAUGCCUUGUUGUAGAAACAACUAGAAGAUCAGUAGGUUCACAUUCAAAUGUUGCAUCAACCAGCAAGCAAUCUUGAUCAUAUACGCCAACAAGAUAAUGAUGACAUGGUGGAGCCUUUAGAUCAUGCAGUUCCCCUUGGUCAAGCUCCUCACACCAUUUUAAACUCGCAUGGGGGACAUCGCCCAUUUGACGCUAGGAUUCCAAGAAUGUUGGUCACUGAAAGAGUCAAUGAGGUAGACAACACCUCUCGGUGGGGACCCCAACACCCAUUAUAUUCAAACUCAAGUAGCCGACAACAAAUGAGAUUACCCUAGGUUAAAGUCACGAGAAGGAUGGCUUGACCCCUGUCUUUAGCAGUUUGGCUCCCUCAGGAACAUCCAAAUGAAUUGCCCCUAAGGGCCACAACUUGCCACUUGACAGAUAUGAUGACAACGUCAUUUGAUCAACAUAUUCUGAUGUAUGAACCCCCAAGAGGGUACACCAUUCCUAAGUUCGCCAUGUAUGAUUGUACAUAUGAUCCAUUCAACCAUUUAAUGCAUUAUCGAAAAAUGAUGACGCUAGAUAUCGGCAAUGAUGAACUCCCUUUGUAAGGUGUUCCCAACUAGUUUCCAGGGCACUACCCUAGCUUGGUUUCACAAGUUUUCCCCUAAUUCUAUUCACUCCUUUAGGGAGAUGUCAGAAGUCUUCGUAGCGCACUAUCUGUGCUUAGCAAGGCAAAAGUUUAACAUAAGUAGUCUUUAGAACCUGAAUAAAACAAAAAGUGAGACUUUGGGUCAAUUCAUGCACAAAUUCAACCAAACAAUGCUCCAGAUAGAAAAAUGCAAUAUGGAUGCUUUACUACAAGCAUUCAAACGCAACAUUGGCCUUGGGACUCCAUUAUUUGAAUAGCUCUUGAAAAAAUCGCCAUAGAUAGUUGAUGACUUGUUUAGAAGGGCCAAUAAGUAUGCCCUGUUGGAAAAAGAUUUAUAGGUUGCUGCCAGCCCUGUUUUGGCAUCAACACAGACAACACGAGCAAGAAAAAAUGCAGGAAACAAACAUCAGGGCCCGGGUAACCCCUCAUAAGACAAGAAGUCAUGUAGGAAUAAGGAAGACCAAAGAGCACCCCGAUGGUGGACCCCACUUAGCUUGACUUAUGAAUAGUUGCUUCCCAUUAUGAGCAGUACUAGUUUGCCCGAUUUCAAGUGGUCUUUUGCUCUUUAGGGACUCAGCGCAAUGAGAUCAAACUCGGCAUUGUGAAUAUCACAAAGAACAUGAACAUACUACGGAUGAAUGCUGACACUUUCGUUAUUUGGUGGAGGAAUGGUGAGAGUCGGCUUGAUCUCCCACUAUGUCGAGAAAAGUGAACGAUCGACCAUUGGGAGUAACAAGCAAGCUGCAGUUGUCAUGGUUUAGCCAGGUGGAACCUUGCCAAUCAUUCACAUCAUUCAAGGAGGGCCUAUGGAUCAAUGCUGGAAGUCAAAGCGUCGUCGACGAGCAAUGAUCUAAGAAGCAAUCGAUGUAGAGAAGAUUAGCAUGGAACAAAUUUCCUUUGUUCCAGGGACAAUGGAACCUAUGGAUGGGGUUGUCUAUUUUAACCCUUGGGAUCCGACCUUGGUAACAGUGCCCCAUGAAGAUGCCCUUGUCUUGUCACUCAAAAUUGCUAGAUUCCAAGUCUGUCGGGUAUUAGUUGAUCCUGGCAGUUCAGUUGAUUUUCUCCACAUCUCAACUUAUAAGUAGAUGGGCAUCCCAAUUUAUACUUUAGGAAGCCCAGACUAAGUACUAACAGACUUCAAUAGCUUAACAUCCCGAUCUUUGGGGGAAAUAAUUUUGCUAGUAGAAGCCAGCCUUACAGCCCUAAAUGCCUGUUUUUUAGUCAUAUUAAAUCCUUUGCCUUAUAACACUAUACUGGGAAUAAAAUGGAUUCACAAAAUGAAAGCUACCCCAUCAACUUAUCACCAAAAAGUCAGUUUCCUUAGAAAAACGGGACAUGUUGAUCUAUUUGGAAGCUAACUAGCAGCAAGGCAAUGUUAUCAGGUAAAUGUUAGGCUUGUAGGAGAGGAAAUCGAAAGUGUUUGCACUGACAGCGAGGCCCAACAGAAAUAACAAUUACUAAAAAAAGGGGGAUGAGCAAGAGCCUCCAGUCGUUGACCCACUCGUUUGCACAGAAAUACAAAAUAGGGGACCAUAUAGAGUUACUUAUGUUAGCUUUAUCCUGACAGAUCAAGAGAAAUAGCUAUUAGUAAACCAACUAGAUAUGAAUCCCAUACUUUUUGCUUGGAAGUUUUCUGACAUGUGAGGAAUAUCUCCUGAAGUGAUUAGCCAUAAACUCGGGAUCCACCUAGAAUCAAAGCCUGUUUAUCAUAAAGUAAGGAAACUCAAUUAAAAAAAGUAGUAGAUAGUUCAGCAUGAAAUAUCCCGAUUGCUCGAUGCGGGAUUCAUUCGAGAGGCUAGCUAAUGUAGUAGUUGUGCCAAAAUAAAAAAAAGGCAAGUGGAGGGUUUGUAUUGAUUUUACUAACCUAAGGGAGGUGUGCCCAAAAGAUAGUUUCCUUUUACCACACAUUGAUCAAACAGUUGAUGCCACUUCAGGGCAUAAAAUGUUGUCAUUUAUGGACGUCUUUUCUGGCUAUAAUCAGAUUCCCAUAUAUCUUCUUGAUUCAGAAAAGACAACAUUAAUAACCCAUUUCAGAACUUUUUGUUACAAUGUUAUGUCUUUCAACCUUAGAAUGCAGGAGCCACUUAUCAGCGACUCAUGACAAAGAUAUUCUAUCUAAUGUUAGGCAAAACAACGAAAGUUUAUAUAGACGAUAUACUUGUAAAAAGCUAGAAACGGGAGGAUCACUACACAAAUUUACAACAAGCUUUUAACUUAUUGUCGCACUUUGGGAUGAAGUUAAAUCCAACUAAAUGUGCAUUUGAUGUAUCUGUUGGUAAGUUUUUGGGUUUCCUAGUCAUAGUGUGUGGUAUAGAGAUAGAUCCUGCUCAAAUAAAGAAAGUACAAGAGUUACCUUUUCCACGUAAUAAAAAAGAAAUACAACAUUUAACAGGAAAAAUGGUGGAAAUAGCCCGUUUUAUCUCCCAAUACACUGACCACCCGAAGCCUUUCUUUAAUGUAAUAAAGAAAAUCAAGAUCUUUGAAUGGAUGGUGGAGCACAAGGAGACGCUCUUAGUUAUAAAGAACCAUUUGGUUUCGCCCCCAAUCUUAAAAAGUCCUCAACUGGGAAAUCCCCUAUUUUUGUAUCUAGCAACAUCAAAAUUGGCAAUUUGUGCGGUUUUGCUUAAGUUGGGCCUUAAUGGAAGUCAAUUACCAGUCUAUUAUGUCAAUAAGGCGAUGCUAUAGGCUGAGCAAAACUAUACCCUACUAGAAAAUGUGGCGUUGGCCUUGCGAGUGAUCUCAAAGAAGUUGUGCCCCUACUUUCAGGUGCGUCAGGUGAAUGUUUUAUCUAAUGUCAUUUUUCGAGCUAUCUUACAUAGGCCUGAGUUGUUCGAGCAACUAGUAAAAUGGGCCACAUAGUUGAGUGAAUUUGGUUUGCGGUAUUUACCCCAUUUGUCACUAAAAUGAUAAGUCUUAACAGACUUUAUUAUUGAAUAGCCAGAUUUUGAAGUCGCUCAGACCAAAUGUCAAUGGAAUACUGGAUUCUCUAUGUUGAUGGAGCGUCAUGUGGCGUAAGAACGGGAAUAAGGCUUGUCCUGCAAUCCCCCAUAGGAGAAUGCUUGGAAUAGGCAGUUCGGAUGGGUUUUUGCACUUCAAACAACAAGGCCGAGUAUGAAGCCGUGCUUUUCAACAUAGGCCUGGCAUUGUCAAUCCAAGCUAGCCACCUCGAUAUAUGGAGUGACUCACAGCUAGUGGUAAACCAAGUGCAAAGCGAUGAUGAAUCAAGAGAUGUUAGAAUGAUGAGGUAUCUUGAUAAAGUUAAGCUUUAGCUUCAAAAAUUCAAUGAGUGGAAGAUGACUCAGAUCACUAGGGAAGAGAAUGCUCGGGUAGAUGCAUUAGUCGAGGUAGCAAUUUCCUUAGCAGUUAUGCAAAUAGUAACUUUGCCCAUUUAUUAUCAAGACAAUCCAUCAAUACUAGAAAAAGGCCAGGUAAGUCAGGUGUAUGAUGCCCAAGAAAGUUGGAUGGGACCGAUUAUUAAGUAUUUGGAAGUAGGGGAACUCCUAGAGGAUGAGCAUCAAGUGGAAUAACCACACUGGUCAAGGUCUGAUGCAACCAAGUCCUUCCUAGUUUCUCCUUUAUGAGGUGUUGAAGGUAUUUCCCAUCAUACUUGGGCCCAACUAUUGAUCUCAAUAUGUUCAUGAUCCAGCCAAAAAUACCCCUGCCAUUAAACAAAUUUUUUUUUUGUUAGUUACCAUAUGAAAUUCCAAAACAAGACAUAAUCCUAGGUUUUCACAUGCUCUAAUAUUGUUAAUGUUACCAUACACAAUUUAGGAAUCAUAUUGGCUGUACAUAUAGGAAUGUUAAUGUUACCAUAUACAAUUUAGGAAUCAUAUUGGUUGUACACAUAGGAAAAGAUUGACAGAUUGGCUUACCAUGUAUUUGUAAAUGUUACCAUAUACAAUUUAGGAAUCAGUUAGACUCCAUGUAUAGAAUAUAUAUCAGUAUAUAGAUGGAUGUAGUGAAAUAUAAAAAAAACUAAUCAGAGUUAUCAGAGCAAGGCUUCAACACCUUCUGAGUGGAGUUCGUGAUCUUCUACCAAUCAAAUGCUUGGCAUCGAAAACAGUGUUGAUCGGGUUCAUCGCGACCUAGUUCUUGGUCGUUUCUGUUCCAAUUCUCUUGUCGGCUAUUUCCAUUGUCUCUUGGUUGCAUCAUGUCAUCAAAUAAGUUGGAAUCAUUUCCUAUUAGAUUUACUGGAAAAAAUUAUUGUGCUUGGGAGUUUCAAUUUAAAUUAUUUGUCAAAGGAAAAGAAUUAUGGGGUCAUAUUGAUGGGAGUAAUCUUGGACCUCGUGAUGCCAAGGCUUUGUCUAAGUGGGAAAUUGAGGAUGCUCGGGUUAUGACUUGGAUCCUUAGAUUGGUUGAACCUCACCUUGUUCUCAAUUUGAGGCCUUAUAAAACUAUUGCUGCUAUGUGGAAUUAUCUCCACAUGGUUUACAAUCAAGACAACUCUGCUAGGCGUUUUCAAUUGGAGUAUGCGAUGGCUAAUUUCACACAAGGAAGUCUCUCAAUUGAGGAAUAUUUUUCUGGUUUUCAAACUCUUUGGAUUGAUUAUUCCGACAUUGUUUUCGCUAAUGUUCUCGCUACAACUCUCUUUGUUGUCCAAGCAGUGCAUGUAACCAACAAGCGAGAUCAAUUCUUGAUGAAGCUACGACCCAACUUUGAAAUUGCACGGUCUAAUAUGAUGAAUCGUCAUCCUGUACCAUCUCUGGAUGCCUGCUCGAGUGAACUUAUGCGUGAGGAGUAGCGUAUCAUAACUCAAGCUACCAUGGAACAUCGUGUAGUGCACAUGUUUCAGUGGCUUAUGCAGCACAGGGGCGGAAUAAGGGUUGAGACAUGCGUGUUGUCCAGUGCUUUAGUUGUAAAGAUUUUGGUCACAUUGCUUGGGAUUGUCCCAAGAAGUUCUGUAACUAUUGCAAGAAACAAGGUCAUAUCAUCUCUGCUUGUCCCAUUCAGCCUGAAAGGAAGCAGGGUACUGCUUAUCAUGCCUCCACCUAUGUCUCUAGUUUUGCUGCAUUGCCUGCUGCCUCGUCGGUUGUUCCUAUUCCUACUCCUACAGUCUUAGCAAACCCGAAUACACUCACUCCUGAAAUGGUUCAACAAAUGAUCAUUUCUGUUUUUGGGCUCUUAGGUAAUCAUACGGUUUCUUCUAAGCCAUGGUAUUUUGACUCUGGAGCUUCUAACCAUAUGAUGAAUAUUGUUCUUUCUCUUUCCAAUCUCAAAAAUAAUGAUGGAAAUAUGAAAAUUAACAUUGUUGAUGGCAGUUCUUUGCCUAUCAGUACUGUUGGUGAUCUUUCCUCUUCCUUAACUGAUGUUUUUGUGUCUCCUAACCUCUCCACAAAUCUUAUUUCUAUUGGUCAAUUGGUUGAUAAUAAUUGUAAUGUCAAUUUAUCCCAUUUUGGUUGUGUUGUGCAGCAUCAAGUGUCCGAGAAGAUGAUCGCGAAGGGGCCUAAAGUUGGACGACUCUUUCCUCUUCAUGUUUCUACUUCCACUAUUAUUCCUAGUUUUCCUUUACUUUCCUUUGCAUGUAAUGUUGUUGGUUCUGGACAUAAGAUGUGGCAUAAACGUCUUUGCCACCCAAACUCUCAUGUACUUCAUACUUUGUUUAAUUUUAGAUUAUUGGGAAAUAAAGCAUGUUCUUCUCUUAAUCAUUCUUUCGAUUGUACGUCAUGCAAACUUGGCAAAAGUAAAGUUCUACCUUUUCCUCAUUCCACAUCUCGUGCCUCACAAUGUUUUGAUAUUAUACAUAGUGAUGUUUGGGGGAUUGCACCUAUUGUUUCUCAUGCACAUUACAAGUACUUUGUUGCUUUCAUUGAUGACUUUAGUCGCUUUACUUAAGUUUAAUUCCUCUGGGCUAAGGCUGAAGUUUUUUCAAUCUUUAAGUGCUUUCUUGCACUUAUUGAGACUCAAUUAUUUACUAGCAUCAAGGUCUUGCGCUCUGAUUCUAGCAGAGAAUACAUGUCUAACGAGUUUCAGGACUUUUUUCAAAGCAAAGGGAUCAUCUCUCAACGUUCUUGUCCUUCGACACCACAACAAAAUGGUGUUGUUGAGAAGAAAAAUCGCCACCUUCUUGAUGUGGUAAGAACUUUUUUACUUUACUCAUUGGUUCCUCCUCGUUUUUGGUGUGAAACACUUUCUACUAUAAUUCAUUUGAUCAAUCGCUUACUGAUUCAUGCCCAAUUGGUGUCUCAGCUGAUUCGUGUUCAGCUGGUGCUCCUUGAUUGAGGAAGUGAUCAACAAAAUUUAUUACCUAUAACACCAUACACUAGGGUAGCAAAGAAAAAGCUACUAUAGUAUAGUGGCUCUAGGGUCGUUCACUGGGAAUGACUAACAAGCAAUCAAUGAUACCAAUUCCAAGUGAAUUGGUCUUGUUUCAUUUCAAGGUUAGCUUAAGAAAUAAAACACAAACUUUGAUUGGUAAAGGUUGAGACUUAAACUAACUAACUUAACAGAAGUUUGGAAUAAUUUAGGAAGAAAAGCAUUCCUUGGAGAUUUAGGUUCACUGGGGUGGUUCCUCAUGCAAAAGACACGGCUUUGGUCAGAUGGUUGAUUUCCUCGCAUUAGAGAUUCAACAUAUAGUCAAUUCUCUAACCGGCGAUGUACAGAGACUCCUUCAAUUAGAUUUCACUUUAAUUCUCUCACUGAUGCAACUUGCAAUGGUUUAAGCCUCUCACUAAGCCUUAGCCAUUCAAGGUGAUCUUUAACCUUGGAUUACCCGUCAAAAGCUCGUAAGAGAUAACUAAUGGAUGUCUCCUAGGAGUCCAAAAGCUUAUCAAGUGUUGGCUAUUCUAGAAAAUCCUACCCUGAAGUCACCUACCAGAGGCUCGCAAGGGGUAAACUAGUGCAUUUCCAUGGUUGGAAAUCACUUGCCUUACCAAGUGUUGGCCCAGGUGACUCCAAAGUGUUUUAAGUUAACUAAAAACAUAGAAAUCACUAAAGGAUUUCACUUCCUCUUCAUUACUAGCUAAAACCACAAAGCUUUGCAUUCUUGCACUUGGAACCUUCCCCGACAACCUUAGCUCCAAGGAAUUAGAGGUUUAGUUACUCAUUCUUUGGGGAAAACUCCUCAGAGAAUUCAUAACUUAGAAAUAAAAUGAAAAUACAAAGUGAGAAGGUAAGGCAGUAGAAAGAAAAGAUCUUUACUUGCUUACCCAAACGUUUUCAGAAGGAACUCCUCUCUGAGAACAGGCUCCCGAGAGGUAUAUAUAUCAAACCAAUAUAAAACUAAUUGUUACAAAGAUAUUUAGUCUUUUUACUAACUUAAAAACUAAGGAAUCAUGUAAUUGGUGGUUUACAAGGAGUAUUUUGGGAUUUAGACAACAAAAAUCUAAAGGAAAAUAUCUCCCAAUGUCGGUAGCAAGUUUCGGGAGGCUUCAGGAACCAUUUCGCAGGAGAAAAAUGGUGUCUGCAAAAUUUCGCAGACACCUAAGAGGGCUGCGAAGUUGGCUUCCACCUUGAGGUUCCCAGCUCCCUUCUCGCGGCAUGGUUCGUGCAUCGUCAGAAGAAGAAACACCUUACUGUACAAAAAUGCUGCGAAAUUCUCGCAACAAAAGGCUGAUUCCGUAGCACUUUAGAGUGAUUGACUUGCAGUGGCUGUAACUUCUUCGUUUCAACUCCGAAUCGCACACCAUUUGAAGCAUUGGAUUUUUGACUUCCUGAGCUUUGAAAUGGUAUAUAGCAUGCAUCAUUUGGACUUCAGAAAGUGCUCCAAAAGUGGCUGCUACGACUGUCAUCAAGAAUAGGCUUCAUGGCAGAUUCUCUUUGCUUUUUCUCCUUGCAAUCCGGAUUCACUCUUGGCAAAUGAAUUCUCAACUUUGCCCAAGAUUCCUCAUAGCUCUCCUCAGUCUUGACUUGCUUUGGUGAUCAAAAUACUAACAAAAACACCAAAACUUACACAAAGUGAUUAAAAUUGCUUUAAAGGAUCCUUAACAUGCCAAUUGAGUUAAAAGGCCUAAACUACUACUCAAAAGUGAUAAAAAAGAUUAAUUAAAGGCUAUCAAAUAGCACUUUUUGAGUAGUAAUCACUUACUCUCUCCUAUGUUAAAUCAUGUAUUUCUUUUCUCUAAGUUGUUUGGUCAUUCUCUUUUAUAUUCUGAUCUUCAUACAUUUGGUUGUGUUUGUUUUGUGCAUCUACCUACUCAUGAACGACAUAAACUUACUGCUCAGUCUGUUCAGUGUGCUUUUCUUGGUUAUGCUAUCCCUCACAAGGGUUAUGUUUGUUAUGAUCCCCAUGCUCGUUGUAUACAAGUUUCCCGGAAUAUUUCUCUCCAUCUCAUGUUGAGCUACCAUCUACAUCUGUAUCUCUUCUGCCUAGUUUUUCUGAAUCCCCAACAAUUGUGGGAAUGUUUAAACCUGGUUUUUUUGUAUGAAAGAUGUAGCCGACAUGAGUCCGGUUCCACUUUCUCUAUGUCCUCUUCCGAUGACCCAACGCCUGAUCCUGCUCCUGCUUCCACCACUCUUCGUCGGUCUAAUCAUCUUUCUCAACCCCUUGAUUAGUAUGGAUUCUUCUCUCCUGUCUCUCUUGUUGCUACUUUAUCCACUAUUUGUAUUCCAUUUUGCUACAAACAGGCCAUGGAACAUAAGUGUUGGCAAAAUGCAAUGCAAGUAGAACUUCAAGCACUUGAGAAGAAUCAUACUUGGGAUAUUGUUCCUUGUUCUCCUACAGUCAAACCUAUUGGGAGUAAAUGGGUUUUCUCUAUAAAAAUUUGUUCUGAUGGCUCUUUAGACCGGUAUAAAGCUCACCUCAUGGCUUUGGGUAACAAGCAGGAAUAUAGGGUUGAUUAUGAGGGGACAUUUGCUCCUGUUGCUAAAAUGACCACGGUUCAAACCAUCUUAGCUAUUGCCUCUUCACAGUCAUGGAAACUACAUCAGAUGGAUGUAAAGAAUGCUUUCCUUCAUGGUGAUCUCUAGGAAGAGAUUUACAUGAAGCUUCCCUCUGGUAUGAUUAAUUCUUCUCCUCAUGAUGUCUGUAAGCUAAAAUGUUCUUUGUAUGGGCUCAAGCAAGCGCCCCGGGCUUGGUUUGAGAAGUUUCGCAGUACAAUUCUUUCCUUUAGUUUUACCCAAAGUCAGUAUGAUUCUUCCCUCUUCUUCCACACGUCUGUGUUGGGUAAAGUCCUUCUCUUGGUUUAUGUGGAUAAUAUUAUCAUUACUGGCACUAACUGUGGUUUGAUUACUAAGCUUCAGCGGAUGUUAUAUACAACUUUCCAUAUGAAAGAACUUGGACAUCUCACAUACUUCUUAGGAUUGGAAGUUCAUCAUCGGGCUAGUGGUAUUUUUGUGAACCAGCAUAAGUAUAUUCAAGAUCUUAUCAUUUUAGCUAGUUUGGAGGACACUUCUUCUGUUGAUACUCCUAUGGAGGUAAAUGUCAAAUACAGGAAAGAUGAAGGGGACCUUCUAGAUGAUCCUACUCUCUAUCGACGCCUAGUUGGGAGUCUUAUCUACUUGACCACUACUUGACAUGAUAUCUCCUAUGUUGUUCAUCAGGCCAGUCAGUUUAUGACUUCUCCUUGACAUCUCCAUCUUGCUGCAGUUCGACGCAUCAUCCGCUAUCUUCGAGGUUCACCUACUCGUGGGUUAUUCUUUCCUACUGGCUCCUCUCUUCAACUUGUUGCCUAUAGUGAUGUUGAUUAGGCUAGGUGUCUAGAUACACGUCGAUCUACUACAGGUUGGUGUAUGUUUUUAGGUGAUGCCUUAAUUUCUUGAAGAUGUAAGAAACAAGAUUGUGUUUCUAAAUCCUCUACUGAGGUUGAGUAUCAUGCCAUGUCUAUUGCUUGUUAUGAAAUUAUAUGGCUACGCGGUCUUCUUGAGGAGCUUGGGUUUCCUCAAACUACUUCUACACUUCCUCAUGCUGAUAACACUAGUGCUAUUCAGAUUGCCACCAAUCCUAUUUUUCAUGAACUUACCAAGCACAUUGAGGUUGAUUGUCAUUCUAUUUGAGACACCUUGGAAAGUCGGGUGAUAUCGUCACCAAAGCUUUGACUCAACAGCGGCAUCAAUUUCUUGUUGUCAAAUUGUUGCUGGUUGACUUACCGGCAUUAAUUUGAGGGGGGAUGUUAAUGUUACCAUUACAAUUUAGGAAUCAUAUCAACCAUACAUAUAGGAAUGUUAAUGUUUCCAUAUACAAUUUAGGAAUCAUAUUGGCUAUACAUAUAGGAAAAGAUUGACGGAUUGGCUUACCAUGUAUUUGUUAAUGUUACCAUAUACAAUUUAGGAAUCAGUUAGACUUCGUAUAUUGGAUAUAUAUCAGUAUAUAGAUGGAUGCAGUGAAAUAUUAAAAAAACUGAUCAGAGUUAUCCGUUUCUGUGGAGUUUUUUUUUUUAGUAUUUUGACAUUUAUAUGAAUCAAUCUUUAAAAGAGAAGCAAGAACAAUUGAGUAUCAAAUAUUAACUUCUCUGUGGAAAUAUUUUAGGGCCAUGCUCAAGAUAAAAGGGCUUGAUGUCUUGGGCUGCAAAUAGAGGACAUCUCAGAUCAUUCGGAGCAAACCGUUUAAGAAUUAAACCAAUUACGAACCGCCCAAACCGGCGGACCGGUGACCUGGUGGAAUUGGACGGUUCAAAUCAAACCGAACAGUUCUAGUUGGACCACCAUUUUAAAGGCUCCCUUGGAUAAAAAGAUUCGGCAAAAGCCCAUGCUAGGCCUUGUCUCAUAAUGACAAAGCCCAUACCCCACUCAACCAUAUUGUGGGCUAAGGCUUGAGCCCACCAGAUGAGGCAAUGCAUUGGCCCUCAAUAUGGAUAGCUUUUAUAGGCAUCCUUUGCAUCCUCAUUUCUCUUACAAUCCGAUGUGGGAUUGCUAACCAACCUAAUCAAUGAAAAAAAAAAAUAACUAGUCCCACCCAAGAGGAUUUGAACCUUGGACCCCAAAUUCUAUAGCCAUCCUAGGACACCACUCAGGUACAUAGUUUUUGUUAUCUAAUAUGCCAAACAAAAUAAUAUAUAUUAUUUUUUUGUAAUAUUAAAUAAAAAUAAUAUAAUAUUUUAAAAAAUUAUAAAAUUAGUUUAAAUUUUCAUUUUUAAUAUAUUCACAUUUAAAUAUUUUGCAUAUUUCAUUUAAUAAAAUUAAAAAUAUCAAUAUGAUUUAAUUUGAUAAUAUUAUUGAUUUUUAAUUUAUUCAUUUAUAAUUUAAAUUUUUUAUAAUUAUUUUUAAUUUUAAUAAUAUAUAAAUUAUAUAUUUAUUACGUCACCGGUCCGAUCGCCGGUCCGACCAGUGAACCGUGAACGGGUAAUUUUUCUAGUUCGAUCACCGGUCCGAUUCUGAAAACAUUGGUAACCACACUUUCCUAUAUUUUUUGAAGACUCAAUUUUCUCGCGUGAAGACUUUAUGAUUGACGAGUAGGUAAUGUGAUAUGCUGAUGAAGUCAGCUUCUAGCACAGAUCCCCAUUAAUAGGAUAUUGUUGAAUUGGAGAAUGUUUCCACACGCUCAAAAUGGGGUGUUUUUUUAGCAUCAAGAAAUUGUCGUCUUCAUUAGCUUGUUGGAAUUGGGAUGUAUGACUGAUGACUUGUUAGGAUUUAUCUGAAAAUAAAGUCCAAGCUCUGUCUCUGUCUCUCUCUCUCUCUCUUAUAAGGACAGUGAUGAUGGUCCAAAGAAGAAUUCCGAAGCAUGCAGAGAUUCAGAACUGCAAGUAAUUACACACAGAGUGAAGGCGGCUGGCCAGAUUUAACAUGAGAAAAUCAUGAUUAAUACAUGAUUCUUCACCAAUAAUUGAGUUGAAUGAGUCUACUAUUCAAAUCACAUUGUUAAAAAGAAAAACAGAUAAUAAAGAUUCAAAUCACAUUAUUAAUGAGUGGGCCGGUCUCAUUUAAGAACACGAUUUGACAUGCAAAAUUAAUGGAUCCAUCCAUAUACAACAUCUACCACAACUCAUGAGAAGAAAUUCUGGUUGUUCUAAUAAUUCACCAUUUUUCUUCAUGGAAUUAGUUAUGAAAUAGUCCCAAUUUAGUACUAUUAGAGAGAGUAUCAAGGAAAAUAUUUGGUAGGUGGGCGGUGAAUCAAGUUAAUUAGAUGGUGAAGAAAAACUAAUGAGAGAUGAACUUAAUCAACAAGUUGUACCUCUUUUUUCUGUAUAAUAUGCUAGUUAAUCCAACUGUGUUAGACAUUGCUGCUACUUACAAGUUAUUUUACUUUAUUAUUCAUUUUUUAAUGUUGGGGGAGGUACUGUCGUUUCAUUGAAAACGAUGUUGUAUUACUUGGCAAACAAAGAUGGUGGUAAGUUUAGAAUAAUGCAAUAUAUGAUUUGCAUGCUUUAUUCCUUGGUAAUACUAUGAUUUUUACUAUAAUCCAACUGUGUUAGACAUUUCUGCUACUUAUAAUUGCCGAACAAAAGGUAAUAACUCUUGCUUGAAAUCAAAUUAAUUCCUGAUAUUCCUUUAUUUUUUAUAUGUACACAAAAUGGCCUUCAUCAUAAGUGCUCUGCAAACGAACUGUGUGCUCCUUGAAUGUGGAGAUAUGGCUGCUCCCACGAAGUUUCCAUACCACAUUUUGAAGUAUAGCUAGUUCUCGUUCUGAUAUUAAUCCACACUAAUGCUGGAAGCUUCCAAAACUGCAUAAUACCAUGUUUUCCAUCUUCUUUUUUUUCCCCUGUAUAUACACAUUAUAACGUCCAUGUUACAUGGUUAAUAACCAAAGAAAGAUAAAUUAAUGAACAUGCAAAUGAAUGCUCAUGCUUACAAGAUGAUUGUUUUGAUCUUCUAUGAUAGUGAAACGACGUUGAUCUCUUCUAUAUAUAUAUAAUUAGUACAACUAACAGUCUGCAUCCUUCUAUUCUUGUAUUUGUGUACUGGGGACAAAUCGUUCUUUGUAUUUGUGUACAAGGGACAAAUCAAAUCAUGAGGAUCACAUGACAACACGGCACCAUGCUCAUCACAAAUGUUGUUCAUUUGCUAGCUCAUGAAACAUAUGGUGUGGGCAACCAGGACAAAUCAACUAAUCAUAACAUGCACGACAUUAUGUUCAUGAAACAUAUGCUAAAUAUGGUGUAAUAAACUUUAAAAAAAAAAUUAGAGAAAGAGCGUACGUAAGGGAAACAAAAAAAAAAAAAAAAAAAAAAAAACUAAUUAAAAACAUGAUGAAGAUGACAAGAUGGUGAAAGAGAUUUUUCACCAAACAUUUGAUUAUUAACUAUAGAAACAUUUGACUAUGUAACACUGCUACCUUUUUUUAAUAUUGGGGUAGGUACUGUCUUUCAUUGAAAAUGAUGUUGUAUUACUUGGCAAACAAAGAUGGUGGUAAGUUUUGAAUAAUGCAAUAAAUGAUUUGCAUGCUUUAUUCCUUGGUAAUAUUAUGAUUUUUUACAAAAAUAUUCUUUAAUUGACUUGGGCAGUGUCGGGUCCAGAAAGGCUGCAUCAGUGCCUAGUGAUUCUCAAUCAGAUGUAUAUCUGGACCAUUAGGGAACCAAGAUAAUAUUUUUGAUUGUGUCGCUGUUGUCCUUUAAAACUAUUUAUCCUUGCAUCUAAAUUAAUAAUUUGUUUUCUCAUGCUUGUAGUUUUUGAAAUAAAGUUAAUUCAGGUAGACCAGUUUUUAAUCAGACCUCAAUGCAACAUAUCUUCCCAUCCUACCCAAGAGAAGCUACUGAAAGCUCCUAUGACUGAAGAGAGACAACAAGGAUUCUAUCCUUUUGGAUCGACCUAGCACUAUCUUUUAGAUUCUAUCCAUCUAUUUGUUCUCAUCUUAUUUCUGGGAAGUUCUGUGUUACCCUAAUUAUCAUAUAUAUAUAUAUAUAUAUAUAUAUAUAUAUAUGUUUCAACCCAUCUCAGUGUCUCUUGUAGAUUUAUAAAGGAUAAGUAUUAUUUCUAGUCCAUUCUAAUUAAUUGCCAUUCCCAUAAUUUAAGUUGAUACAAAAUUAGAACUUAUUCAAGCAAAUAAUGGAAAUAAUUCAAUCUAGCUUGUCAUUAAAAUGUUGUGAGAAAUAGAGGUCGCAUUAAAUCACAAUGAGUUUGAAUUGCAUAGACGCACGCACAAAAUCAGAACCAUACAAGAAAUUCAGUGGAAUCAAUGGACUUACAAUACCUUAAUACUAGAAACGCUUAAAUUGGUUAUUAAACAUAUCCCAUUUGGGAUUUAUUUUUACAAUAAGAAUAGUGAAUUAAAAGGCAGACAUUCAGAAACGGGACUCCAACUUAACUAGAAAUUCAUUACAACAGUAGGAUUCAUUCAUAUCAGACAACGACCAAUCCUUUAGAAGCGGCAGCAUGUCCAUGUGGUGACCUAGUAUCUCUACGUUGCUUCUCUUGGGAGAGUAGUCUUGCAAAACUGAAAAAUUAGAAGGAUUUUUUAUUAUCAUAUGAUUAGUUAAUUAACUAAGAAAGCUCUAGAAUAAAACUCUAAAAAUAGUUAGAUACCUUGUGAGAGCCUCCUCAUUGGUCUCGUGAUUUGAAGGCUCAAAGAUACCUGUAUCCAGGUUAACCCUUGAGACCCUUUUCUUUAACAACUCCUCACCAAUUUUCACAAGAUCAUCCAAAUUUUCCUUUGUGGCUAUGUCGACUGAUGAUGUUAUACCGCUCAAUGUAUCAUCCUGUAUUUACCCUUUGUGUCAGUAUCAGUGGUAGACAAGGAACAGAAGAAGCUAUUGACUUUCAGAUAUUUUUAGGACUGAGGAAAUUAUGAAGAAGAACAAAAUUUAAAUAAGAAAUUUGACUUUGUGACGGUAAAUUUAUGAAACCACAAGCAGCAAAGCUGUACCUGUAUCCGAAGAUAGCUUUUUUCCGAGUGAAGGGCUUGAAAAAUCUGUGAAAGGUGUAAGUCGAUCAUAUCUCCGCUUGCUUGGGUAAACACUUUCACUAAGGGGGUGGAACCACCACUGGUCAACCAUCCCAACACACCCCACUUGGCUGCUUCAUCAGCAUUGUAUUUUUCUUCGGCUUUUGAUGACCCAGUUCCCAAGG
rnacentral:lncRNA from 1 species